UAUUUGAAGGUAGGUGAAUCACGAUUCACCAAUUUCCACCAAGAUAAACAACAUGUAUUAUUAGGUUUUAAUUGGUUUUUCAAACUCCUAGAUUCUUUUGAGAUUCAUUGAACUGUUCAAUAACAUGUUUCAAUCUCGAAUGUGCCCUUCAGGUUUUGUGACUGAGAUGCCGAGGAUCACAAAACAAGGUGUGAAUAACCACGCAAAUAUACUUGGUACCCUUAAGUGUUUACCCCUCAAGCGAUGUGCCGGUUAACCACACACGCUCCAUCGAUACUAUGAUAAAUAUUAAGUCACCCUUUACCUACCUUGUUAAAUACAAGUUAGUGUGCCGGUUAACCACACACGCUCCACUAACGACUUAGACAAAGUGUAAAGUGUAAUUUCAUGGAUUAGCACCUUAUUCACAUUUUCCCUAAGUAACUAAGAUUGGGUAUUAUUAAGAGUUUAGUUACUUAGUAUUUUCAUUAAUACUUUUAAUGAAGGGAGAAUUCUAGUCCUGUCAAACCCGUUCGGCUAACGACCCUCCACCAGUCAAGCAAGCGGUGGGUGAGAGUGGACACCCAUUAAGUUGCCAUUUUAUAGGCAACAGCCUUAUACCCACCUUAUAGUCCGGCUUCGUGAAUGAGGCGUACUAGCGGUAAGACUGACUUUACUCUUAUACAUAUAUAUAUUAUUAACUUAUAAUAUUAUAAAGCAUAAGGGUUUAAUUUAAACUUUUAAAAUUCUAAGGGCUAACCUGGAAUUAAAGUAUUCAUAAGAGAAAACUUUUCAAAUUACAAAACUUGAGAGCAAGUUUUGAAAAUAUUCAAAACUAAUUAAUUCCAUAACUUAUGUGAUUAAAUUAGUUUUAAUUAAAAAACUCUUCAAGUUCCAUAACUUGAGGACAAAUUAUGGAAGACUUUAAACUAAUAAAAGAAUGUAACUUUUCUUUAUUUUGUCACUUGUUGGUUUCCAUGUUCGUUCCUUUGGCUGAAGUUGCCAAUGUUGUUCCCACCUCCAUUAGGGUUGUUUGCAUUGAUUUGUGUCAUCGCAGCGGUUACUGCUACCGUUACAGCAGCUUGGAAAGUAGCAGAGUCCAUCUGCAGGAGUGGUGCCUCGCGGGUGCGCUUGUUAUUCUUGCGGGGCAGCAUUUUCCUGAUGCAUGUUGAUAAGCUACAUCGUAAUUAUAGUCAUUCCUGGUUGUACUCUAGAAAUUUUGCAUCUUGUUAUAUAAUUCUUACUGCUCCCAUAUACAUCCCUAUGAUGUAUUUAUAGUAGUAGGUAAUCACAUAUUUGGCACGAUCGUUACGUCUACCCCAGAGGAUAUGGAUUGUUUCGGUUUCGAGAUCCUUAAGUACCAUCUUAGUACACGAAAGAGAGUCAUAUCGGAUAGUGAGGGGGAAAAGAAAAGGUUGAUCCUAAUUGUGGCGGUAAGUGUCUGGUGGUGGUGCUGAUGAAGUGGGUGCACUUCGAAGAUGAGCUACUUGUUAUCCGGUAUCUCAUAGUUGUACUUCCCAAACUAAUUGUCUCGCUCGAGAGUCUCCAUUCACUUCCUAUGUCUGCCCCUCAUCUUUCUCAAUAGCAAACCACAUUUGUUCCGUUCGAUUAGUGGUGUCCUGAGCUUGGUUAUCAAUACCUCGGGUGCGUCGGACCAUGACUGGGAGGGCCCGGUCAGCUGGUCCUCUAUGGCUAAUGGUCGGAGAGACCUCGGUUCCUACCCUAGUGUGGUCGUAUCCCCUGCUGGUGACUCUAUCUCCAAAUAUCAUGUGCCUAAGGGGGGCAUGGGGCCACCAGGGCCCACACGAUAUGUCGAUACUCUGACUUUACAUGGAGGAUUGAUGUCAUUGGAUUCUACAUCUGAGUCAUCAUCAUCAUUGCCCUCUGGCUCUUCCUCUUCAAGGUUCACUUAUUGACUUGGCGGGUUCACCUGCGAGUUCUACUUCGUGUUCCUCCUGUGGUUCUUCCUCUGGGUCGAGCCACCCUACUAUUCUUUGACUAGGGAGAUAAGGUUUCCUGACUAAUGAUACUCGUCUAUAGCGUAUUGCACGAAGGGCUAUGAAUACUAGAAACAAAUAGCAUACCAAUUACUCCUAUAACUCUACGACUAUUGCAUAGAUUUAGUUGAGGUUCCCUUCUUGGAGAUUAAGAGGUAUGUUUUUAGAUUCCCUAGCUAUCACGAUUUAUUCAAGACAUGUGAUGGUCGUACUUUGGAGGGAAUGUAGUUGAUCAGGCUACAUCCACUCCUUGAUACAACUAAAAACAGUCUUGGAUCAACCGAGAUACUAGCAUUAUCUUGUUCGAUUCGGUGUUAGGUUCUCGUUCCUAAUACAAGCAAGGGUGUUUUAUUGUUAUGUUUACUUAUUUUGUUCAGAGUCUGGUUAGUCCCUCUUCUGGUUUAUAGUUGCAUAUCAAUGUGUGGUUAGAUAUGCCAGUUCACUAUAAACAGAGCUCUGAUACCAACCUGUCACACCCCCGAACCAGACGGCGGAAACGUCCGAGGGCUGUUGUGACUCAAUUGAAUACCAUCACAGUGAAUAUACAUGAAACAUAACAUCAUUCAUCACCAUGCAUUGAAAUAUUACAACCGGUAGUGUUUACAUUUAGUACAUUGUUUCAAAACAUUACAUUCCCAAAAAGUAAAUUGUUCGAUACUAGUUAAACAAACAACAAGACAUCACUGAGUACAUUUUUCCUUCGAUUUACUUGUUACCUGAGAAUACAAGUAUUUUGAAAAACGUCAACAUAUAAAAUGUUGGUGAGUUCAUAAGUAAUGUUUGAAACACAGUGUUGGUAUUAUUUUGAAAAACCACUAGAAAAUCCGAUAUUUUCUGAAAAGAUUGUUGCAAGUAAGAAAAAGUGUGAAGAUCCGUAAGUAUGCUUGUUUAUUUCUACAAGCGUGAAAAAUUGUUUGACUUGGUAUGCAUCACGUAGGUGUAAGUGUUGAAAUCUCUAGGAAAACCCGAUGUUUUCCUAAUACUUUAAAUUACGCGUUUUAUUUAUUGUUAUACCGUUGCGACAUGUGUAUUCGAUAAUUCCAGGNGUACUAUUCACUUAAUCCAACCACCCUAACUUCUCAUAGCCCCACAACCGAGGAGAAAAGAGGGUGCGAAGCCCCCGCUAUUUCCAUAAGUCGUUCAAGGCUAUCGUGAAUGCGAAAGGCCCUUGGCCCGACUCGCAUUGGUGAAUUCUCGACUUUGCUAGCAGUACCAAAAGACCCUUGGGGCCCAACAGCACAAAAGCCAGUGAAAGUCCUUUUACAUGGAAUUAGGUCAUAUAAGACCCAACAACAUGUAAGCGAGUUUCCUUCGGGCCUAAAGAUCAUGUCAUUGGGCUAGCUAGGCCCAACAAGCACGAUUUGAAACUUUCGGGCCCAAAGAUGGUGUAUCGACGUCUGGUGAAUUCCCGCGUGUGUAUUGACUUCCCGUAAUUUCAGCGUGUGUAUUGUAGUAUCGUCGUGUAUAGAUUUUUGAUUCAUUAUUGAUUCGAGACCGAAUCAAUUCGUUUGGUAACGAUUUUUGGUGUUGAAGGUGUAUUAUGUUUCAUCGGUAGUCGUGGUACUAGUAUUUCAUCAUAACGGAUUUGUUGUUUAAAACAUUAGAAUUUUUACUCUUUGCAGCCCCUUUCUUUUGGAUAAAUUUACACUUUUGACCCUUUGUAUAAAAGAAUUUCCAUUUUAGUCCUUAAACCAUUUUUCUUUACACUUUAGUAUCAAAACUUGUUGAAAAGGUAUUUUUCAGCUCAAAUUUAUUUGAAAAACAGCUUUAGUCCCUCAGAAUGAAGUUUUCUCGGCUGAAACCUCUAUUUUCGCAAUUUUUACACUUUUGGCCCAAAAUAGAAUUUUUUUGCAUCUUUGGUCCCUUUUAAAUAUGAAAAGUAUUUUUAACCCUUGAAAUGGACUUGGAGCACUAGUAGUCCCCUGUUUUACAGAAAAGUACCGUUUCAGUCCCUCUAAUUUGAAAAUCUCGCAAUUUGGGCUUUAUUGGGCCGAAAAAUUCAUUUUUGGCCCAUUAUGCUUAAAAAUUCACAUUUUAAUCCUUCAAAAGAGUAAAUUUCCAGAAAAUACAUUUUUGAAACUGUUUUGACUCAUUUCAACCAUCAGAAUUUGCAUUUUGUCAUUUUGGGCCCUUUGAAUUUAUAUUUUCAACAUUUUGAGCCCAAAAAUGGGUUUUAAGCCCAAAGAUGUUCAUAUUAACCAACUUGGUUAUUUUUCUAGGAAUGAUUUGUAUGAAAUAAUAUAAUUUGUAAUUGUUUCAUACAACUUAACGUAGAUCUCGGUUUUAAGGUCUUUUUGACUAGAUCCAACACCACAACCACAUAAGAAUAUAUAUACAAGCAUAAAAAUCACACAAAGCAUACAUAUACUCAUAGAUCUACACAUUUGCUUGUAUUCCCCCCCCCCCCACAAAACUUAGAAAAACCGAAAAAUAGGGGGUAUGAAGCUCACCUUGAGGUUUGGUUCGAUUUUGAUGAAGAUAUAUGAGAAGAUGAUGUUGUUUUUGGCUUAGCUUUCUUCCUUCAAAAUAUCUUGAUGAUGUGGAUGGUUCUAAGAACAUAAUCCACAAAUAUAUGGAUGUAAGAGGAGAUCUUUGAAGAGAUCAAGAAAUUAUAUCAUAGAUCUAAGUGGGAACUUACCAAAGUUGAUGAUCUUGAAUAAGAAUUUCUUGAAGUAUCCUCUAAUUCUCGAAAAUUUAGAGGAAAGUGUAGGAGUGUUCUUGUGAGAUUUCCUUAAGAGAUUUCUAAGUAAAAUAAGUGUGUUGGUGAUUUUUGGGCCCUAUGGCCGAGAUUAAGAAGAGAUAGGNAUUUUUGGGCCCUAUGGCCGAGAUUAAGAAGGAGAGAGGGGAAAAGAGAAGAGAGGUUUGAAGUGAUAGAAGUCUUGAUGCAUGAGAUUAGUUUUUGCAUGGAGGGUAUUUAGCAUGGGAACCCUACAUGUAAAAAUGAUGUGUCGCCAUGCAAUUUACCCUAUUUUUUUUAACCUUGGGCCGAAAAUGGCUCUAAUGGGAUGAAGAAAAAUGGUUUUGGGCUCAAUGUCUUGGCUUUGAUCGAACUUCAUAGCCCCAAUAUUAUUUUUCGGCCCAUUGUGCUUAAGGACGAUUCACGACCCCUUUUGAAUAAAAGAAAUGGAGUUUAUGGCCCAACAAGGCCUAUUAGAGAUAAAAAUGAAUUAUUUUAGGCCCACAUGGCCCAAAACAAUCUAGUUUCAUGACUGUGGGUCCAAGUAGAGCCCAAACAGUCGAUUUGAAAGUUUAUUGGUCCAUUAGGCCCAAUAAGAGAAUCCUAAUCCAUAAUGAAUUUGAGCCGAAAUUUCUAGGGUUUCCAACCCUUAGUUGAACAUAUGAGAUGUAUGUGAAUGAGAAUAGAUUAUAGUAAGUAUAGCCUUUUUCAAUGGAUGAUGUUUACAUGGGAAUCGAAUUUCCUAGCAAAUGCUAGUUGUGACACCUCAAAUGGUUCACACAACACCAAAUACACUUGGAAUAGAUUAGAGAGAAAUCCACACUUCAUGAAAAUUGGCUAGCCCUUUCACAUAUAUUCUAGUGCCGAUUUUGUCAACAAUAAGAUGCUUAUAUAGUUAGUGACAAUUAGGGUAAACCCUAAUUGUCAUGGCUUUCCAUUUCCUUGGAUCUAUGGAUUCAAAUACACCAUGGAGAAUCCAUGGAGCAUCUUAUGGGUUUUAGCCCAACUUGACAAUCCAUAAAGCAUUAGCCCAUUAUACAAGUAUGGAUAAUUUAUACAAUCAACCGAAAUAUUUAAUUAGUCUUCUUUUGAUCACUUAAUUAAUCCUAGAUUAAUUCUUGAUCAAUACUAAUUAAAUAAUCUUAUUAAUAUAUUAAAACUUCUAAUAUAUUAACAAACCUUAAGUGUUAUUUCUCUCAUUUUAGUCUAUCCAAAUGCAUGAUGUCAUGCAACCCAAAUGGACCAUGCUGGGUCGGGUCAAGUCUUACCAAUUAUAGUUAUUGACUUAGACAUUAAUCCAACAAUCCAGUCUGGGGGCAGUUUUGAUGCAACGUGGUUGUGUGAUUGCUUACGCUUUGAGGCAGCUGAAGCCUCAUGAUGCGAAUUAUUCGACACAUGAUUUGGAGCUGGGAGUCGUGGUAUCACACUCAAGAUUUAGCGGCAUUACCUCUAUGGGGUUCAUUGUACCAUCUACACGGACCACAAUAGCUUGAGGUAUCUAAUGGAUCAGCCGAAUCUGAACAUGAGGCAACAUCGUUGGUUAGAUGCGGUGAAAGAUUAUGAUUGUGAGAUCCUUUAUCACCCAGGGAAGUCCAAUGUGGUGGUCGAUGCUCUUAGUCACAAGGCAAUCGCGGCUCCAAUAAGAGAUAUAUGUUUGAGGAUGACCGUGAUUACUCAAUUAUUGGAGCGGAUUCAUGAGGCUCAUGCAGGGUAUAUGAAGGAAGAGCAUCGAAAGAGUGAACGCAUUGUAGGUUAGGUGGCUUCCUUCGAUUAUGGUAGCCAUGGAUUGCUGACUCUGCAUCGGCGAGUAUGGGUACCUUAUUGGGGUGGUUUGUGUCAGGUUCUUAUGAAGGAGGCAGGCACACGAGUCGAGGUUCUCCAUUCAUCCCGGGGCGACAAAGAUGUAUAGGGAUCUUCGUCCUAACUAUUGGUGGCCCUGCAUGAAGCGGUAUGUGGAAUGGUAUGUUGAGCGAUGCCUGACUUGCAGGAAAGUCAAUGUUGAGCAUCAGCGUCCUCACGGCAAGAUGCAGCCGUUGGAGCAUAUGGAAAUGGAAGACAUAACUGUGGACUUUAUUAUGAAGCUUCCCAGGACUGCGCGCAUAGUGGAUUCUAUCUGGGUCAUCGUGGAUCAUUUGACUAAGAUGACAUAUUUCAUUAUGAUCCAGGAGAGUAUUUAUAUAGAGAAGUUGGCCGAGAUUUAUGUCCGGGAGGUAGUGGCACGUCAUAGGGUGCCGAUAUCAAUGGUUUCAGACAUGGAUGUUCAUUUUACUUCCAGAUUUUGGAAGCGGUUUCAUGACAAGAUAGACACUCGUCUCCUUUUUAGUAUAACAUUUCAUUCAUAGACCAAUGGUCAAAGUGAGCGGACUAUUUAGACUCUUGAGGAUAUGUUGCAUGCGUGCGUGUUGGAUUUUGGUGGGAGUUAGGAUACGCAUCUUCCAUUAGCGGAGUUUUCGUAUAACAACAGUUAUCACGCCAGCAUCGAUCGACCUUCUUUUGAGAUGCUCUACGGGAGGAAAUGCAGUACCCCGAUUUGUUGGGGCGAGGUCGGUCAGCGAGUUAUGGGGAGUACCGAGGUGGUGCUCAAGACCACUAAGUUGAUUAAGCAGGUUCGAAGCAGGCUCCAGACAGCUGGGAGUCGGCAGAAGAGUUAUGUCGACAGGCAUCGAUCAGACUUAGAGUUAUAGAUGGGAUAUAUGGUUCUCCUGAAGGUGUCACCUUGGAGAGGUGUUAUCCCGUUCAGGAAGCGGGGCAAGCUGGGCCCCAAGUAUAUUGGUCCCUUAAGAGUUUUAGCUCGAGUGGGCCGAGUUGCGUAUUGUUUAGAUCUUUCAGCCGAGCUCAGUUUGAUUCAUAACACAUUUCAUGUCACUCAGUUGCAUAAGUGUUUAGUGGAUGACUUUGCAGUUGUACCUUUGGAGAAUAUUCAGGUGGAUGACCGUCUGAAUUAUAUUGAGAGACCGGUGGCAAUUUUAGAUCGAAAGAUGAAAACCUUGAGGAACAAGAUUAUGGAGUUUGUAAAGGUGCAGUAGUUGUACCACAAAGGGUCAGAGUGGACUUGGGAACCCGAGGAGGAGAUGAGGGAACAUUAUCCAGAGUUGUUCGAGACGGCGGACUUCAAGGAUGAAGUCUGAUUCAAGUGGGGGAGAAUUGUAAUGCUUGAUAAUUUCCAAGGUAUUUAUUUAAUUUGGAUUUAUUUAAUUGUUAUGAGUUGGGCCUUGAAUCAUUGGAUUUUUCUUAUUGGGCUUAGGGUGUUAAGUACGCAGGGUGUACCACCCUAUGUAUGCAAGGCGUACUGAUGUAGAAUGAUCGCGGGUGCCAUGCAUGUACACGCUGCGUACAAAGGAGUACGCACAACGUAUGUAUCUAGUCCCUAAAACCAUACUAUUUAGGGUUUUAGCACUAUUUAAAGAACAUUAUAACUUAAGGAUCUUCUUUAUCAGCCUCCAACUUGCCCCUAAAUAGCCUCCACAAAACCCUAGCCCAAUUGUUGAGUGAUAUUGAGCUUGGAAGGUCUUUUGAGUGCGUUUUGGUGUGUUUUGUCCCAUUUUCAAGGAAGAUAAGGUUGGAGCAAGGUGGUGGUUCAAGGAGAAUUUUAUAGAUCUGGAUUAUCUGCCGCAUUUCAAGCUUGUGCAAGGUAUAAAUCUUGAUCUUGAUCUUUAGAAGCUUAGAUCUCCAUGUUUUAGCUUUUGGACCCUUUUUGGUCCCAUAAAUAAGCUCUUGUGGAUUGUUUUCGUUUCUGAAGCUUAGAGUUGCUAGUCUUGGUGUUCUUUGGGUCCUAGAGGCAUAAAGUUGCCACCUUUGAAGCUUUAAUCCAACCAUGUUUGAGUAAUUGCCAUUUUUGUGGAAGUAGAAUGUUAUAUUUCAAGUUUGGGCUCAUUUGGGGCAUGCAAAGCCACCAAUUUGAUGACUUUAUGGGUUAAGACGUUGCAAAUGACUCAGAUUUGUGAUUGUAACUCUUGGACUUAAGUGGUUAAGAGAUUUUUGGAGAAAUGGCUUAUUGGGUGAGUAUGUUGGGCGUAUAAUUGGGGUGGAAAAUCGGACCAUCGUGUCGUGUUUUUGUCCGACACGACAUGACACGACAAAAUUUUAUGUAACACAAACACGACACGACACGAUCUCGUAUUUUUUUUAACUAACACGAAAACGAACCGGUUAAAAAACGACAAACAUGACACGACACGACAAAGAUAACAUGAAAUAACAAUUAAUGUAUUUAAUUAAUGUGUAUUUAUACAUAACACGACAAACACAAAAAACACGACAAAAAAUGUUAAAUCGUGUCAAUUUCAUGUCAAAUUUUGAACACGAACACAACACGACACGACUUCGUGUUUUUUACACUUGACACGAACACGAAUUCGAAUUUCAAUUUCGUCUCAAUUUCGUUUCGUGUCGUGUAUUUUUGUCGUGUCGUGUCAUCAAUCGUCACCCCUAGCGUACAGGCUCGUACAUGCAGCAUACAAGCCAUGCAGCGUGUAUGCUUGGUGUACAGCCGAGUACGCCUCGCGUACUCAGGCAGUUGGGCUUGGCGUUGUUUGGGCAUCGAGUUUGGCCAUUUUCUUGGACCUUGUUGCUUUGGGCCUUUUGGGCCAUCUGGAAUUAAUAUUUUGGAUUAAGGAAUUUUAGUGGGCCUUAGGCCAAGGGCCAUUUGGGGGUUUGAGCCCAAUUUGGAAAAUUGGGCCAUAAGUGGGCCUUUGUGGAUCUUUUGGUUUUGGGCCUUAUUGGUUUAUGGUUUUAGGCCUUAGUUUUGGAUCAAGCUAGGCCAGGGGUAAUAUGGUCAUUUUACCCCAAGUAUGGAUUAUUGAUUAUAGUUUGGAACCUAAGUGUUGAUUAGGUGGUAUUUUGUACUAAUAGCUCGGGGAGUCGUCAUGGUAGCAACUGGGGAUUUAUUUCUGUGAGAUUCAACAUUUGAGGUGAGUUUCCUCAAUGGGUUUAGCGGGUCUAAGGCACCAAUGCUGACCCUUAUUAAUUAUGUUAGGAUGCUAAGAGUUUGUGUGACCCUUGCAUGCGUUAUGUGUUGUUGUAUGUAUACCGGGCGAGGCUCGAUGCUAAGCAUGACAUGAGGAUUGGAACAUAUGCUAGUGUUAUGAUCAUUAUAUGUGUUAGCAUGAUUAUGUAAUAUUGAUUGUAUGUGUAUAAAGGGCGAGACCCAGUGACAUGCGAGGCAUGAGAAUAACAUAUUUGUAUACCGAGCGGGGCCCGAUGCCGGGCGGGGGCCCAAUGCAUGAUUUAUUAUGUAUGGUAUGGGGUAGUUUGGGGAACUCACUAAGCUUUGUGCUUACAGUUUUCAAAUUAUGUUUAGGGUACUUCCAGUGGCAAUGAGAAGAACUCGGGGUGACUGCAUUGCACAUACCAUAUGGAUUCUGUUUAUUGGGCACGCUCUAAUUUUUCCUGAUAUCUGACAUACUUAUUUUAUUUGGGUUGUAUGAACUAUGAUUGGAAAUACUGUUUUCACUUGAAUGAAAAAUGAAAAUUUUAGGUCGUAUUUUUGGGUUGUUACAUUGUUUGUUUUUUUGUCGGUCUUGAAUAUCAACGACUCUAUGUAAGUAAUCUGUUGUCCCUGGUUGAAGUUGAAUGUGUCCAGGUUCCGUAGGCGAAUAGUCUACAAUGUUUCGUCAUUUAUUUUCAAUCACCAUGUUAUGCAGAAUGAUACAUGCAUACAUAAUAUCUCGUAGAGUGUCCAACUCGUAUGGUCGUUCCGCAUGUUCAACUAUGUGACAUUUUGCUUUCAGAACUCUGAAAGUACGUUCCACGUCCUUACGUGCUCCUUAUUGUCUUCUCUUGAAAAAUUUGUUUAUCGGUUAUAUCUGGUGUCGAAACGCCAUCACAAACGUGGAAUAUGGUGGGUAUAUUCCAUCCGUGAGGUAAUACCCGAACUUAUACUCAUCGUCAUUUACUGUGAAAGGAGCAUCUGGUGCCUUUCCUGUCAAAAGGUCCUGAAAUAUUGGUGACUAAUGAAGAACGUUUACGUCGUUGUUAGAACCCGCAACUCCAAAAAAAGCAUGCCAAAUCCAUAAGUCUUGUGACGCAACAACCUCUAAUACUAACGAAGACGAUCCAAGAUGAUCACUUGUGUAUUGACCUUUCUAUGCCACAUGACAAUUUCUCCAUAUCGACUUUGUGCAAUCAAUGCUUCCAAGCAUUCCCGAAAAACUAUGUCGUUCUUCUUGCGCCGCAUAUAGUUAUUGCAUGUCAUUCAAUGAACGUUUGCGCAAGUAUUUGUCACUGAAGGUUUUGAUAACACCUCUCGCCAAUCUAUACAAACUUUCUCAUGCAGUUCACUCUGACAAUCUAUAAUAAUAUAAACAUAUAUUUAAUUUUUAAAACAACUGUAAUUACGGUACUUGCUUUCCAUUGCAUUGACUAUUCGUUGAAACACAUUUUUCCGCAAACGAAACCUUCUUUUAAAAUCGCUAGGUUGGUAGACACAAUUAUCCGCAAAAUAAUCGUGUACUAGACGUCUAUUCCCUUUGAUGCGUGCAAAUUAUACCUACCUAGCUACACCUAAUUUUAUAUUUAUAACCUAACUAACUUAACUAACUAAAUUGCACCUAGGCACUGUACUUAGUCAAAUUAUAGAAUAGUCGGGUAAGUCGGGUGUCGAUCAUAGGGAAGGGUUUUAACUAAUUAAUCUACCUACUAUUAAAUUAACCUAAUUUCUAAUAAAGUGGGGGGGUUUUUUUUAUCUAAUUUUGCAAGUUUAGAUGAACUUAAUUCGUAACACAAAAUUCAAUCAAUUAACAAACACUUAUGUUAGUUCAAAUCCACUUCCCCUCAAUGGUUUAUAAAUUAGUUAUGACAAUUACUGUUGGUUACCAAUUAAGAUAGUAUUAGCAAUUCAGUUCUAAAUUUACUAACAUUGAUUAAUUAAUGUAAAUCUAUGCAUUGUCACACAAUAGUUAACUUAAAAUCAAUUAUUAAAUGAAAUUGGAGCCAUGUAAGAUUGAUUUGAAAAACACACUUAUGGUCAUAAUAUGAGUUCUCUAGCACAUCCUAAUUCAAUAGUUCAAUUAUUUUUCUAAGAUUUGUUUGAUCUUAGCUCUAAUAAACUAGUGUUCACUGAAUUAUUAAGUAUUCAAAUUCAUGCAUAUUCAUAUUCACUAACUACACAUAAUAAGAAUUUAAAGCAAUCAAAUAUUAAAUCAAACAUGCUAGGUUCAAUCAAUCAAACACAAGUCAUAACCAAAAAGUAAAUCAAAACUAAAGUAUUGAAACCAUGAGUUCCAGCUUCAUCUAGCUAACAGAAGCAGCUAGAUUUAGCUGGACAUACUAGCAAACAAACAUAAACAAAUCAUAUUCAAAGACAUAUUUAAAUGUACCAAACUAUUAAGCUAAUAAUGAACUUCUCCUUCUUCCUUGGUGUUGAAAGCCAAUUCCAAACGUUUUCUCCCUCUGGAUUUUGUCUCCAGGAACCCUCCAAGUUGUCCAAAAGUCCCUCAAAGUCGUAAUGAUCAAGAGAAUAUAUAGUUAUCAUAAAAUUCACUCUCACGUCGUGAAUGAGUAUGACUCACGACGUGAAUGCAGUAGAUAUCUGUGUUCUACAAGGAUUCCUCCUCCGCGAUGCUUAUCUUCUGGAAUAGUUCCAUUCACGUCGUGAAUAGUUAUGACUCACGACGUGAAGUUAGCAGAUUACAGGGAUUUCCUCUUCUUUCAUUCUCCAAGCCUCCAAAGUUCCAUGCUUUGUCAAUUUCAGUCAUUUUCUCCCAAAAUACUUCAAUUUGGCUGCAAAGUACAAUUAAAGCUUAUAAGCAUCAUUAUUUAAUGCAAAUAACCAAAAUAUUAAUAAAAAUGUAAGUAAAUAUUGCCCAAAAACAUGUAUAAAUAUGGCAGUAUCACCCUUCUUCACGAUCUCUGUUCAACGCCGCACGUCUGGUCAGUAGUGGAGCUGGCUUUGGCGGUAACAUGUAUGUAACAUAUCGAUACAUCAUACCCACGAACAUAUCAUUCUCGUCGAUAUCAUGAUUAUAUGGAUGAAACGGGUCAAAAGGUUCCAUUUUUUUUUUGUAAAUAGAAAUAUAGAAAAUAUAUUAAACUUGAUAGAAAUGUGUAUUAGAGAGAAUUAGAUAAAUUUUCUAUGUAAAGAUAAGUUAGAAUGUGUGUGUGUGUGUAUAUAUAUAUAUAUAUAUUAAAGUAAUUUUUUUUAUUAUUCGUGACCGUUCCACAUCGGUCAGAAAGUAGACCGUUUAUCCCGUUUCGUCCCGUUAUCACCCACACACCGAAUAUCGUAACGCCAAAAAAACGUGUACCUGGAGGCGGUGUUUGCACCGUUAUACCAACAUUUUUUGAUGUACACGUCGGAUUAACGGGCACUUCGGUUGCCCAUUCCGAGUAGUCUAAAUGUCAAAAUGCAAUGAAGAAAAAGAUUCAUUACAAAUGUCAAUUAUAAGUAUGUAGAAGGAUAAAAUAUAAAAAAGUUAUUAUCUUUUGGGAUAUACACAGUAAAGUCCCAAUAUUUUCAUCGAUUUGACAAGAAAAUCCUGAACUUUAUUUUUUUGACAGUAAAGUCCAAAUUACCGGCAGUUUUUGACACUUUUACAUUUUUUUCCCGAUUAGCCGGUAAUUAGGACUUUUUUGUCAACAAAAUAAAGUUUAGGACUUUCUUGUCAAAUCGUCAAUUAGGACUUUACUGUUAAAAAAAAAAAUAAAGUUUAGGACUUUUUUUGUCAAAUCGUUGAAAAAAUUGAGACUUUAGUGUAUAUAUAAUUUUUUUGGUUAGAAACUUAAUGAUAUGAUACUCUUUACGCAUAAGAGUUAUUGAAACAUUCUCUAAUCAGCUAGAUCAUAUUGAAAUCCUUUACGUUUGCUUCUUGUUAAAUCGUUAUUUUAAUCUCAACAAACUGACAUUGAAAAAAAUUGAGAUAAUCAAGAAAGAAAGAAAGAACCAGGGUUGUGUUGGCUUUUUGCAGUCUCAAAAAUGGAGAAAUUAGAAACCUACAAAAACGAAAAUGCCCUGACUUUUUACAAAUACAAACAACACGUGCCUAGUCAAAAUGGUGUGAAUGUGGAGAAGGGAAAGAAGGACAAUUUCGUUUUUUUCGGUUUCUUAUUUCUCCAUUUUUGGGGUUGCAAAAAGCCAACACAACCCUGGUUCUUUCUUUCUUUCUUGAUUAUCUCAAUUUUUUUCAAUGUCAGUUUGUUGAGAUUAAAAAAACGAUUUAACAAGAAGCAAACAUUAAUGAUUUCAAUAGAAUCUAGCAUAUUAGAGAAUGUUUCAAUAACUCUUAUGCUUAAAGAGUAUCAUACCAUUAAAUUUCUAACCAAAAAAAUUAUAUAUACACUAAAGUCCCAAUAUUUUCAACGAUUUGACAAAAAAAGUCAUAAACUUUAUUUUUUUUGACAGUAAAAUCCUAAUUGACGAUUUGACAAGAAAGUCCUAAACAUUAUUUUUUUUGACAAAAAAGUCAUAAUUACCGGUUAACCAGAAAAAAAUGGUAAAAAUGUCAAAAACUGUUGGUAAUUUGGACUUUACUGUCAAAAAAAUAAAAUUUAAAACUUUUUAUCAAAUCGAUGAAAAUAUUAGGACUUUAUGGUAUAUAUCCCUUAUAACUAAAUAGCAACUAUAAUGUGUGGAGUUUGGUAAAUUCCGCUUGGGUUUGGUCUCUACAACCCAUUCAACCCCAAGGCUAUUCUAGUAAUUUCCCCACUAGAAGGAGCUAGGUUCCGCUGCCUUUUAAGUCUAGGUUUUCACUAUCAUCACUCUCACUCAUCGUUUUGUGGUUUCCUGUGGAGAAGAGCAGCAGAUACUCAACAACUUGCAGGCUCUAUUUUCUCAUCGCCAUCAGGUAUCUGUAGGUGUCCUAAAAUCUACGGUUAGGGUUUUGUUAGCACAGUAAUUCAUGGAAAAUGUUGAAAUCUCACUUGUUACCGUCGAUUCAAUCUUUAUUUUUUAGGAAAAAACAUCGGUUCACCAUAUCGUUAUAAUUGUUAUGAUGAUUUUGGUAUCAUCGAUGAAGUUUUAUGUGUUAUGUUUUCGUUGUAAGCUGGAUGUUUCAGGAUGUUUGAUGAUGUGUGCGAGAAUUUCAUUUUAGGGUUUAUGGUGUAUGUUUGCUUUCUUAAAUAGCGUCUACAUGUUAGCUAAUAUAAAUAGUUACCUUGAUGUUUAUAUAUUGGUUGCCACUCGGCUUCUUCAUCUUUGAAAACAAUGCGAUUAGACCCCCCUUAGGUUUGGAUCUAUGCUUAGAUGUGGAUUGUGUAAUUUUUCUCGUGAAAACUAUUGGAUAAACUUGCUUCGUUUUUUGCACCAUGGAAAGCUUAUUUAUGAUUUAAGCCUGGUUCCAACUUUGUUUGUGGGGUUAAUUUGCUACUUUUAAUGUCUAUAUGUAAAGUAUCAGUUGCUCUCUUUUAGGGUUUAUGUUUAGGUGUCUUAUUACCUCGACAACAAGCAAUGGUGAUGGGAUUAGAUCAUAUGUGAAGUUCUUUUGGGGUGCAUGGAUUAUUGCAUGUGAUGCCCUAUAAUAGUUUUAAUAUAUCAAUGGCUGUAAAUUAUCUGUCCAUAUUAUGCUAUGGUUAUCUGUCUAUUAAACUGUUUUCUUUUUGAACAUGUAAUGUGCAGAAAGAGUGCUUUGAGGAAUGCUGGAUUGAUUGGUCCCAAAUACAAAGAAGAUGAGCAAGAAGAACCCAUUUGUAUACUUGGAUGUGUCUAUAGAUGGAGAUCCUGUUGAAAGGAUGGUUUUUGAGGUCUUUAUUAUAGCUUUAACCUUCUAAGAUCUUUCUUUUAUUCUUUUUUCUGCCAGAUGGCAUUGCCACAUCACUUAUUAUCAAGCUGAAAAACUAAUUCCUUUUAUAUGGUGUUACAGCUAUUCUCAGACACUGUUCCCAAGACUGCUGAGAACUUCCGGGCACUUUGUACUGGUAAAAUGUUCAUCAUAAUUGGUAUUCUUUUUGUCAUAAGUUUAUAAAACUGGAUGCUUUUUUAAAUUUCAGGAGAAAAAGGGAAUAGUCAGAAAACCGGGAAACCCCUACACUACAAAGGAUCCUUCUUUCAUCGCAUAAUCAAAGGAUCCAUGGCUCAGGUAUGUUUUCUAUCAAUUACUUUCAUAAAUUAUAUUGUUUUUUUUUUUUUGUUUUGUUAUUUUAUUUUCCACUUAGUUUCUUCUAGUUCUGGAUGUCUUGGUGGUGGUCUGUCUUUUUAGUCGGCUAUCCUUGUUUAAUCUGUAGGAUACAGGGUUGAUGGUUCCAACUGCUUUUCUUGUGAUGUAGUUUUUAAGGUUGUAAUUAUUUGGUUGUAUUUGUAAUAUCAUCACAUUCAUUCUGAAACAUAUCAUACAAAAUUUACAAAUCCAUCUUUCUGCAAUGAUUUCUGAAUAUAAUUUCUAUAAGUGAAUUAAUUCUUUGUAUUUUUUUUUUGCAGGGUGGGGAUUUUUAUAAACGUGAUGGUAUGUACAUUUUGCCACCAAUUUUUUUUAAUUUUUGUAUACAAAAUCCAUAUCUCAUUGGUUUACUUUUGCAGGAAGUUAUGGAGAAAGCAUAUAUGGAGGGAAGUUUCCAGGUGAGAAAAGUCACUAUGUUCAUUACUUGUGUUUUCUGUUUGAAUGUUGAUGAUCAUAAAUACAUAAUAUGUCUUUAGGUAGUUGAGGAUUUCAUUUAAUUUGUUUAAAAAGUGUAUGCAAAAGAAAUUGAAAUAAACCUUUUAGCUUCUAUCUCCCCAAAAUUUCUAUAUAUGUUUAUAUUUUGAGAGAAUGGGUUUCCUUUUUGAAUUGCCUGUGAAGGUGGGGGCUGACAUUGGUCUUAUUCUCGGUGCAUGGGAGCUCAACCCACAAUGAAAUGGGCAAAUUGUAAUUGUCUUGAAAAAUGGUGGGUGUAUGAAUAUUUUGUGUGCCUUUCUUUCUAGGUUUGAAAUCUUUGGUAAAAUACAAAGUAUUUGGUUUGGAUGAUUUAUGCAGCUAGUUAAGUCUAAUGUAUAAUGUAUGCUUUAUAUUUAUGCCCAAUACAUUGUCAUGAGUUUUUUUAUCUGGCUUUUUUUCCAUGUUAAGUUCCUGGCUACCUUAUUAUUAUUAUUUUGAAUUGGUUAUAAUCAAAAUUUGUUACAUUUCAGAUGAAUCCUCCAAACUGAAACAUGAUGCUCCUGGCCUUCUAACAAUGGCAAUUGCUGAUCGUGAUUCACGUGGCUCUUUAUUUAAUGUGACAUUUGGCGCUAAUCGCCACCUGGAUAGGUUUGCUCAUCUUUGUUGUUACAAUUUUAUGUUGGACAAAUUGAUAGAAAUAGCUACAUACCUUACUUUUGUUAUGGUUACAUAUUGCUAUUAUUGAUAAAAAAAAAGUGUUAAGUAUGUUGCUAUUACGGGUAAAAAAAUAAAUACACUGCAUGUAUUGGUAUUUCCUACAUGUUAUCUUUUUAUAUUUAUCUGAAAAGUUAGAGUUUUAGCAACAUUAACUGUCUAACUUUUGAUGGAAAAGGAAAUUUAAGUGUUGGAAAUGGAAUUUCUUGAACAGGAAGUAUGUUAUUUUUGGAAAGCUUGUUCAAGGACUUGAUGUAUUGAAGAAGAUAGAAAAUGUGGGUGAUGAAGAUGGAAUGCCAACUGUGACAGUGAAGAUCAUUUAUUGUGGGGAAGUAAACGAGAGUGAGAAUCAAAGCUCUGGUAUGGUGGAUAAUUAUUGCAUUUUUAAUGACAUAAUUGUUUGUUUAUUUUUUUAAAAUAAAGUCUCUGUUUUUGAUGUUUUUAUAGAUAAGAAGGCAGCCAGCAAGUUGAAAAGUGGGAAAGAUGUUUCUUCAGAGGUUCACAGCCAUGAAGUGAAGCGGAAGGGAAAGCACAAGAAAUCUUCAAAAGAUAAAAGGAAGAAAAGAAAAAGAUAUUCUUCAUCUGAUUCAGACAGUUCAUCUGACAUGGAAUCUGACUCAUCUGAUUCGGAUAGUGAUUCCGACUCUGAUGAUUCAUCCUCGUCAUCAUCUGAUGUCAGCUCUUCAAGUGAUGACAGGCGUAAGAGAAAAAAGAGAUCCAGAAAGGAUCGACACAAACGUGGAAAAAGAAAGGACAAAAAACGCGAGAAGAAGCGUAGGAGACGCGAUAAGAAAUCCAAACGUAAAUCAAAGAGGUUGGUAUGGUAUUUUAAUUUUAGUUAAACCUUAAAUAAAGUAAUGUUUUAUUCUUUAUAAAAGUUAUUAUAUAUCAUUUUGUAGGGUGUCUGGUAGCGGAAGUGAGAGUUCAAGUGAAAGCGAACAUGCGUCUGAGGACAAUAAUGGUGAUGUCAAAAAGCGAAACCGGAAACAUAAUAAUAGUAAUAAUAAAUCUCCUACAGCUGAAUUUGAAGAUGGUAAAACAGGAGAUGCAUUUGCAUUUGAUGGACAUGUAAAGGAGGAAGAAGGUGAAUACCCGAAAGAAAAUGGUGGGGACCGCCCAAGCAAUGGUGUUGACCUGGCGAAGGCUGAUAUAGUCGAUGACCAUCUCGGAAACUCUAGGUUCAAUCAAAUUUAAUAAAACUUUAUUAUUAUUAUUAUUAUUAAAUUCUUUCUAAUCUUAUUUUUUUUUUACUAAACAGAAGUAGAAGCAAAAGUCCUCCUCGAAGGGAAUUGAGCAAGAGUAUGAGUAUUAGCCCAAGGAGGAGUCAAAGUGUUAGUGGGACCCCUCCUAGACGGGCCCCAUCACGUAGCCCGGUCAGAAGCGAAAGCAGCAGCAAGAGUCCGGUUAGAAGCAUAAGCAGAAGUCCAGUGAGGGGCAAAAACGUCAGAAGCAUAACUCCCUCACCAUCACCUCCACGAAGGAGUGUUUCUAGAAGCCCACUGCGAACAUCGUCUAGAAAAUCCUCACGAAAAUCAGUAAGCAGAAGUCCGGUUAGAUCUUCCAGAAGAAGCUACAGCAGAAGCCCAGUCAGAUCAUCUAAAAGAAGCUUGAGCAGAAGCUCUGGUAGACCGCCUUUAAGAAGAAGCCCUAGCAGGAGUCCGGUCAGACCGCCUAUGAGGGGUGGUCGCCGGAGCUAUUCCAGGAGUCCGGUAGGUGGGCGUAGGGCGGCUAGGUCACCGGAGAGAAGCUUGUCUAGAAGCGCUUCACCUGAUGGCUCUCCCAAACGUAUCAGAAGAGGACGCGGUUUCAGUAACCGAUUUUCUUACGCACGCCGAUACCAUUCUCCCGAUCGCUCCCCGGUCAGAUCUUAUCGCUAUAGAAGUGACCGCGACCGUGACCGUGACCGGUAACAAACUAACAGCUAGCAAUUUUAAAUUAAGUUUUUUAAUAUAUUUAAUAUAAAAACAAUUAAACCAAUAUUUUGGUUUGUAGUUAUUCAAGCUAUAGAAGGCGCAGCCCACUGAGAGACAGAAGUCCACCAAGGUAUUUUGGAGUAAUAAUGGAAUCUUUUUUUUUGGUGAGAAAGUGAUUAUUUGAUUGUUAAAUUCAAUUAUUUACACAGGUACAGAGGGAGAAGAAGCAGGACACGGAGUCCGAGUGUGUCCCGGAGUCCUGUCCCUGUGCGGUACCGCCGGCGCUACAGUCGGAGCCGGUCGCCGGUGGAGACAUCAAGGUACAGGCCAUCACCGCCAGUGGAGAGGAGGAGGGCGCCACGCAGCAGGACCCCGCAUUCUCAAAGUAGGAGCCCGUAUGAACGUAGGUCCUCUCCAUCACCAUCUCCGAGAAGGAGCGUGAAGUCAAAGUCAAAGUCAAAAUCGCCAUCGAGAUCAAGGUCAAUGUCGAGGUCAAGAUCUAGGUCGUCUUCUGGAAGCCCACCUGGGAAGAAAGGACUGGUGUCGUAUGGAGAUGGUUCUCCAGACAGUCAGAAGUGAGAAGAGAAGAGAAAGAUCUUACUUUUGAGGGUGAAAUGAUUUAUAGACUUGGUAAUUGGUACACUAUGUAGGGUGGGUGUGUUUUGAAUAAUUUGACUAUUUCUCUUGUAUUUCUUUCUUCUUCUGUGGAGUGACUGUUGAGGUGCUGCUAGACUAGUAACGAUGAUUGGAUAUGUGUUUGUUUUUAAGAGGUUGGUUAGACUGAGGGGAAUGGGACCGAGUAUCAAUUAUGUUAUGUUUUAAAAAGCCUCUUCUGUUUUUAUCUUUAUUGUUAUGGUUUGCUCUUUGAUCAGUGCGACUUGAAGGUAGUUUGUGCAUUUAUAUAUGUAUUAACAUAAUCUUGUGUGCUUGAAUUGAUACAUUAUAUUAUAAUCUUUUCAAAGAAUAAGCUAACAAGUUAAAAGGAGGGUCAUCAAGAUGUAUUGAAUUAUUAAGUAGAUUGAGAGAAGAUUAUUUACCAUCUCUUUAAGACCGGUAAUAAUUGCGACAUAUGUAUUGUAUUUAGUUAUUUAUUAUUUAUUAACCGAUAAAAUUGGAAUAAGUUACCUAAAAUUUAGGGGAAAAUAUGAUUAAUUACGUAAGUUCAGGGGGUAUUUUGGUUUACGGCAACAGCAGGCGACGUGUAGAAGAAGAAUCUCGGGAACCCUAGCAGAGGUUUGUUUCUCAAUCCUACGCCGCUACGACCAUUGCCGCUUUCUCCACUCCACGAUGAUAACAAAGAAACAUCCGUCGCCGUUUCUCAAUCCAACGGUAAUAUGAUUUACUUGUUCGUUAUUAUUUGAAUCUAUUAAACACAAGAUAUAAGCCGAAGCAUUUUGAUUGAAAUAAGACAGUAACCAAUAAAUACUAAAAGCCAAUCUCUUUUCUGUAGCUUGGUAACAUUUGUAUUACUAAUAAAUGAUGAAUGUAUUAUUGAUUGUACUUGGGUUUUUGAUUGACAGGGUAACAUUAAUGAUAUUGAUCGUAAUGUUCUAUGCAAUGUGUUACACAUCAAACAAUGCUCCAAAGCCUCCCAAUAUAUGGUGAAGUUUACAAAGCAAAGGCAUUGGAAUCAUCAAACAAGUAUGUCUCUACCUUUUAUAAGCUUCUUCAUUUUCAGUAACAUUAUAGGAAUUAGACACUCUUUCUUUGUCACCACUGCAUUUGUGAUGGCAUUGGCAGCUGGUAAGCUUUGGGACACCAUUUCUGAAUGCAUCUCCCAAAUUCAAUCUGAUUGUGAUGAUGAAGCUAAAGAGAGGGCACUUCAAACCCUAGUUUCCAUCACAAAAGCAAGCCCUCCACACAGAAAUUUAGUCAUGCAGAAUCAGGAAGCCAUCCCCGCUCUCCUCUCCCUGCUCAAAUCCUCCUCCCGUGCUCUUGAAAGACUCUCACUUUCCAUCCUCUUCAACCUCUCAUUAAACCCUAAUCUCAAAUCCACCCUUGCUGACAUGGCAACCAUUCAACACCUCAAUACUGUGAUCCUGUCUCGUGGGUCACUCGAGUCUAGCAAACUAGCAGCUUCUUUGAUAUGCAGCCUGGCAAUGCUAGACAAGAAUAAAGCAGUGUUUGGGGUAGCGAAUACUAUUCAAGCAUUGUUGAAGGGAGUUUCAAGGCCUAAUAGUCCUGUGACACAUCACCUUCUCAGCUCACUUGCUGAGUUGGUGCACUUCCAUGGGAAUUGCACAUUGGCUGUUAGAUCAGGUGCAGUUGGUGUUCUCCUGAGAAUAGUUGAGAACAAAGACAGUGAAGAUCUUUGUGGGACUGCUCUUAGUAUUCUUGGGCUUCUUGCUAAGUUUGAUGAAGGGCUAAAAGCUUUGACAAAUACACCUAGUAUUGUGAGUAGAAUGCUUGAUGUGUUGAAAGGUAGGUCCAUGUUGAAUAAUGAAGGUGCAGCCGAGGUACUUCUUCGUGUUUUUGAUGAGAGUGAAGAAUGCUUGAGAGAUGCUAUCGGAUUGCCUGAUUUCAUGUAUACAUUAGCUGAGCUCUCGGUGAGAGGAUCAACGAGAGCUCGGGAGAAAGCUUCUCUACUGUUGAGAAAACUUGAGGCUAAUGAAUCAUAUGUAGAUGAUGAUCUGGUGUUCUUGAAAUGGUAAGGUAGGAUGCGUGUCUUAAGAAAAGUAACAUAAUAAGAGCUUUUGUUUGUUUUGUAGCACAUGAGUGUGCACAUUAUUAGGUCCUCUUUGAAGGUUUAGGUAAUGAAUAGAUGGGUUUGGUGUUAAAAAAGGCAUGGAGUUUAUAGGAUUGAAGCCAUGACUCACAAAACUACGAACUACAUAAAAAAUGAAUUUGAGAGUUACAUAAAGCCAUAAAGUUAAAUUUAUAAAGAAAGCAUAACUAUCUUGCAUCCAAAUACAACAACAACAACAAAUAAACCCAAAUCCCAUAAAGUCUUGUGAGGUAAGUGGGAGGUUUGAUGUAGGUGGUCUUAGUGUCUUGCCUCCACCCGUGGGUAGAGAGGCUACCUCUAUAGGAGACUUUCGCCAUGAUCAAGGAUGCACCAUACAUGAGCAAAUAAAAGCAAUAUACAAUUAAAUAUACUAAUACUAGAAAUAGUACUAAUUGUAAAAAUGAAAUAACAUAAGACGAUAAAUACUUAAAUGCCUAAAUGAUAAUACAAGAAACAAAACUUAUGCUACUACACUAACCUAAUUCUCCGUCUCCACUCCUACCUAUGUGAGGUCUGUAGAAGGUGCCAACUCCUUCGUGUCUAACCUCACACUAUAGUUACGUUGCGUCCUCGGUCGACCUCUCCUCUUCGCCUUACCGUAGAUGUGACGCCUCGAUCCAUUGAGUACCGUCAUCUAUCCUUAGUACACUUUAUUUUAAAUACAACUAAGAUAAUACCUUAGAUUUCAUCUUCAUCAUGGUUUAACAAAAUUACAUAAGCAAAAGUGCAUAAAAGAAAAACUAUUUUAACCGUUUAUAAUUCAUCCAAAAUUUCUGUUAAAACACUAACUACUUGUGGUCCUUCUUCUUUCCUGAGAUACAUACAUGAAUACAUAAGCUUUAAGUUUAGUGAGUAUUUUGGUUUUAAUAUUUAGCAUAAACAUUUGAUGGAAAAAUAACAAUUAAAUGCUUGAAAACAUUAAUUUGAGAUCUUAUAGCUACAUGUAAGUAGGCCCAACUUCUGGGAGGUUUGCUAACCUUGGGAUUCAUAUAAGGCUGUCCCAUAAGGUCCGUUUUUAAGACGUCCCUUCAUCCCAUACCCAAUGCGUUGGGUUACUUGGGUAUUUAAAUGACCGUACUUAACAUGAAUAAAACUUUCAUGCUAACUUCAUAAUAUGUUGUUAAAUGUCUUUGAAAAAUCAUUUGAGCAAGUGAACAUGGCAAAUAAUUUAAAUGCAUUGAACAUAUACGUAGCAUGUAUGUAUCCCAUUAAAUCACAUAAAUAUACUCACCUUUCUUUGAGCUUUUAGGCUUCUUUUUAAUCUUUUAAGUCACCACCAAGCUUGAUAGUGUAUUCUAGGAUGAAAAAAAAUGCUUAACUUCACUUGCUAUGUCUAGUAAAAUUGUGUGCAUUGCUUGCUUGUUCUUUAGGCCUAAAACAUAGUACAUUGUUGAUGAGAUGAUUACACCUAGUGUACUUGUUGUACCUCAUCUCCUUAGAAGCUUACACCUCAAGCCUCUAGCUCUUCUAUGUCAUCUUCCAGCUUAGCUUAAUCUCCUUAGAAGCUUACACCUCAAGCCUCUAGCUCUUCCAUGCCAUCUUCUAGCUUAGCUUAAUCACUCAAAAUCUAGGCAACGCUUAUCUCUACUUGUAUAUGCUAGCUUGGUUACUACUUUUAGCCUUGAUUUGUCAUGCUAAGCUUUGGUUUACUUGUAGCUGGUGUUGUGGUACUUGUAAGCAUAUGGUAAGCUACUUGUGUGCUUGCUUAUUUUCAACUUUUCUUUUUACAUAAAAUUUGCAACAUUCUUCUAUAACAACUAUUCUUAAAGUGUCCCUUAUGUUCUUUUAUAUUACAAGGGUGUUAUGGUAGAUGAUUGCCUCCUCUUGACAUAUCUAAACCACUAAAAUCUUUCUUUCCUCGAAUUUUCGGUGGUUCACGCAACUCCUAACUUAUUUAUGAUUAUAGCAUUCAGUAUUUUCUCCAACAUUGUUGUAAAGCAUAAACACUGAAGGAUCCUCAUUUCAGAAAUUUCCAUCUUCCUCUCAUGCUCUUUUUUUUCCGGCUAACAUUUGAAGCAACUACCACCUUGUAUCUUGCAUCCAAAUGAUGCCAAUGGUUGUUUUAAAACAAUUUUGGCUAAGGGUGUAGACUAGACAAAGCAAAGUAGAAGGAGAAACGAGGUUUAUUGGGUAGGGUUUAACAUGGACUAGGCUUAUAUAGACCACACUUUUAUCAUGUUAGAUAGUAGAUAGUUUUUUAUAAUGAUUUCUUAUGCAUCUUUAGCGUGGUCGUACAAUUAUGAAUAUUUAUAAUAGUUGGAUAAAUUUAUAAAAUAUGAAAGUGUUGUGGCAAAAUCUAGAGAUUUGAAACAUGUGAACCUACAUGUUUUAGACAUGACACUUUAGUGUCUUGUUUAGGGACCUAUUCCGUGUAAAUGCAUGUAAUUAUCACAUGAAGCUUGCAAAUUGAACUUAUUUUACUAAAUAUUAGGUGUAGACUACCAGGAAAGAAAUUUAAAGCCCAAAUUUGCUUGCCUUUUCUUUCAUUUCCUUUAUCGUGAGUUCGUGACCUUUCCCCUUUAUUGUGCCCUCGACAAUCGACAUAGGACAUCGCCGAGUGGUGCGUUUGCUAUCGUAUCUUUCGAUUGCACCUCAACUACACCUAAAACAACAAGAAUUUGUUUAUCGCAUUGAUAUUAAGGUAUCUUUUUCGAAUACUUAACCUUUAGAUCUAGUUUGAUCCCAAAUCGAUUAUUCCAAAAUUUUACUUGUAAUGCUUUAGUUAGGUAAAUUAUUUUGCAACCGGAAAGAAUUGGCUAGGGUUGUUUGGAAUAAAUGUUUGUGUGCUUCCGAUUACGCUAUCAAUAUUUCUUUACAUUUUUGUUAAUAGGAUUAAUGUCAAUGAACUUAACUUGUAUAUGGAAUGUCAUAAUUAUGAUUUCCAUUCCAUGAUAAACAAUGUUAGGGCCUUAUUAAUGAGAUAAUUCUUUAAUUAAGGUAGUUAUUUAAUUACUUAGAAGCAGUGAUGAUAGUUUGUUAAGCUUUGGUGUCAUGGAUGGUGUCACUUAGAUCAUGAGAGAGAUAGAGAGAAGGGAAGGGGGGGGGGGGGAUCUUAUGGGCCAUCAUUUGUACCCAUCUAGUAGAAUGACGAGAGAGUCGAGUUCCAUAGGUCUUGGAUAUUUCUUCCAUUUCAUAGUGGAUGAUAGUGGGUAUCUUACUAUGAUUUCCUUCUUUGUAUCUCCAAAUUAGCAAAGGGUUUAAAGGCAUUUAGCUACAACUCAUUGCCUUAUUGUGGUUGUAAAUAAUAUGUCCAUCUUUUUGCACAUGUUAUGCUUUUUUCGUAAUCUAGUGGGAAAUUGUGUUAGAUCUUUUGAUAUCCUCGUUUAUAUAGAGGGACACGUUUGAGAACAUGAACCAUAAAUUUUGGAUAUAAUGAUAUUAACUAUGUUGAGACAUCUUUUUGGUUUUAAGAUGAAUUUUGGUUUUACUCCCACCAUUAUCCCAUUUUCUUUGGUUUUUCCUCUCAUUUUUGGACCAUUGACUCUAGUCGUAGUCAAAUCUCAUCUUUACCAUUUUAUAUGGACCUUGUUGCUCAAACCUCAUCUUUAAUAUCGCUAUGCGGCGGUGUUUGGGAUUGCUUUUCAAAACAACCUAUUGACUUAUUGGCUUUUUGAAAAGCCAAUAAGUCAAAAAUAAUGUUUGGCAAACUCAAAAGCAUUUUUCAAAAUAACUUUUCCAUUAGCUUCAAAAAGGAGAUUUCAAAAAGCAGGUAAAACUUGGCUUUUUGAAACUCCUUUUAGCUUUUUAAUCAUAAUAGCUUCAAAAAAGAGAUUUUAAGCCUAACAUUUUUUUUAAACUUAUUGCCUUAUUGGAUUUUGCCAUCUCAAAAGCUAAUCCAAACACUUUUUUAAGUCAAUAAGCACUUUUUCCCAACAACACUUUUGGAAUUCAAAAAGCAGUCCCAAACACCCCCUUGUUCCAACCAUGUGUUGUCAAUGCACCAAGAUCUUCAGUUUUGAUCUGAGCCUUGGCCUACAUUAGUGCUGGCUUUGACUAUUAAGUUCUACCUGAGUUGGGUGUCACUAGCAUUUUCUCAAGAGAUUACUUGAUCUUUCAUUAUUCUACCUUGGUGUCUUUUAGCAGAGCAUCAGAGUUUUCUCUAUUGAGUCAAGAAAUUCUAAACCUUUUAUAUUGCUGGUCGCCUAUAGAUGUUUUUUCCAAUCCAUGACUUGUAAACUACGGCGUUCUCUGUUCUUAUAGAUUUGGUCCUUGAAUUUUAUGCAAGAAAUAUUUUAUAAUGCUUAUUUAAAAAAGAAAAAACUAAUGUAAUGCAAUGUUUAGAAGAGGAAGAAUGAGCAUGGUGGGAGAUUGGAUUUGUGGGUCAUGCAAUCACUUAAACUUUUACUGGAGAGAAUCAUGCAGGAGAUGCAAAGAGCCACGAUCCCAAGACAUGAAUGCAGCUGUGAGUGCGGGCCCCAGGGUGUUUGCUUUUAGGCCCGGGGAUUGGUUCUGUGAUGUUGGGAUUUGUCAGGCUCACAACUUUGCAAGCCGAAGAUUCUGUUUCAAAUGUGGUGUAAUUAAAAGCAUACCAUCUUUUGGUCCUACUGUAGGACUAGGAUACUACCCUACCCUUCCCCUUCCCCCUCCCCCUCCUCCUUUCUUGAGUUUCAGUUUCAUGAAUCCCAGAAUCAGCCAACGAGGCUGGAAGCCUGGCGACUGGUUUUGUGGCAGGGGGUUUUUUUUUUAAUUUUUUUUUUUUUUUUUUUUUUUUUAUUUUAAAUAUUUUUUUUUUUUUUAAAUAUANUUUAUCUUUUUUCAUAUUUUUUUUUUUUUUUUUUUUUUUAAUUAAGGUCAUAAUCAUUAUUCAUUAAUACUAGUUGAUUCUCAUUCAUAUAAUCAUAUGAUAUGAUAUAGGCCUGGCUGUAAUGCACACAACUACGCUUCCCGAAUGAUAUGUUUCAAGUGCAAGUCUUCUAGGGAAUUGGUUACCAAUGUUUCUAAUUGAUUCCUUCCUUGCAUUCCGAAUUCUGGUAAAGAUUUUUGUUUUUUUUUUUCUUAUGAAUGUGUGUGUAAUUUAUGUCAUGUUUUUCAGGUCCUAUGGUUAUGCUAUCACCUCUGUUAGGAGAGAGGGAGAGUCAGAGUUGUUGUUUUUUCGUUCAGAUCUUGUUAUAUCUUAUGUGUUUCUUUUUAUUUCUGUUGGUUGCAUUGCAAUGGAGUUUGAAUCUGGUAUGAAGUUUACAUGAAUUAAUGAAGGAUGUAAUUAUAAGUGGUUUCUUCAGUUUGAAUGUGAUGAUUAUGGAUGGAUGGAUGGAGUUAUAAGAUUUUUGUGGCAAUUUGGUUGGAUCAUAUGUGUAGUUGUAAGAAAAGUUCAUUCAACUGGGUUGUUGAGUUUCAUACACAUUCAUUUGCAAAUGGUAAUUUGACAAGGAUUUUUUUUAAUAUAGCUGAUUUUGGAAAUUUUGGUCUUCAAAUGAUUUUUUUGUUUUUUGUUUUUGUUUGUUUGUUUGUUUUUUUUUUUUUUUUUUUUUUUUUUUUUUUUUUUUUUUUUUGUUUGUUUGUUUGUAAUGGUCUAUGUUCCAAAUAAAAUGACUUUUUUUUUUGUUUCCUAAGUUAUACCUGAUUUUUGCAGUUUUAUCACAAAAAUAGUCAUUUUCUUGGUACGAGGACCAAAAUCAUUAAAAAGAGGAUCAAAAUUGCAAAAAAAAAACUCACCUCAAAAUUGCAAAAGAAAACUCACAGACCAAAAUUACAAUUCAAAAUUACAAAAAGAGGACAUACUACCUAAUUCAUUGAUGAUUAAAGUGGGACAUUGUUUAGUCGUAUUCAAUAAUAUAUAGAAGUAGGAUCGGGUGAUGACUUGAAAAAUAGUGAGGAUUGCGAUGACAAAUCUUGGAUGUUUGUUGGUUUAAAUGGGUGGUUGAGAUAAAUCAAAAUUAAUAAAUAAACAAAAAAAAAAUCGUCCAAUGACAUUUUUGUAAAUAAAAUCAAGUUAGGAUCACUUUCCAAUUAAAGGGCAAUGUCUGGGGGUCAUAACUGUCAAAGGAAAUAAUAAAAUUUUGUUGCUGAAAUGAACUCCACGCACAAAAGGUGCGUCGCCAACUCUAUGGAUCUUACUCUUGAACACGUUUCGCCACCAGGUUUACUUGGGUUUAUUUAUUUAUUUUUAUUUUUCAUGGAUCUUACUCUCGUAUGAACUUGUAUAAGUAGUCCCCGGAAAUGUAUUGACCUGAACUUCAUGAAUAUGGCUUCGUAAUCUGGUUUGGAUGGGUUCUAACGGGAAAAAAACAGGUCUUGAACAAGCUGUUGUUUCGAGUUAAAAUCUGAAAAUUUAACCUAGUUGUUUAAUUAUAUGUUUAAGGUGAAUAUCCCUAUUUAAUCUUGAUUGUUAUUCUUAGGAGUUUUGAAAGGUGACCGGGUGCGAAUGGGUUCUGGUUUCAGUUGGAGGUUUACUCUACUACUUGAGGUGAGUUUCUCACUACACUGUGUAAUGUUGUGCAUUCUUUGCUUUAGCUCGUGUGUGUUAUAGUAUGUUUAUACGGGUAACACUAGAUUGGGUUAGUAUCUAGUGGGAGUAUGUUAUUUGUUCAUGUAUUGAAGAAUAUGUAUAGAAGGGAUCGACGUAUCCGAGCAGAGGAUCGGGCAUAGCCAGUGUGUCCCAAGGGGUCGACGAAUUGAGCAAGGGGGAUCGGGCAUGACCAAUGUGUCCCAAUGGGUUCGGGUGAUCGGGCUUAUCCAAUGUGCCCCAAUGGCUCGAUGUAUCGAGCAAAGGGGAUCAGACAUAACUAAUGUGUCCUAGUAGGUGUAUGUUGUUAUUGAUUCGCUCUUUGACAUGCAUACGUGUUUGUGUGGUUGAUAUUGUUGUUAUAUGUGUAUUAAGGGUAGAGCUUGUAUGAUAUAGACAUAUAGUAUUGUGUAUGUGUGAAAUCCCCUAAGCUUUGUGCUAUUCCCUUUUCCCUUAAAAAAAUACCAUUUCAGGAUUAACAUGUACUUAGGAUGGCAGGGUGUGAUAGUACACACCGGCUCAGUACGGAUUGAUGAAGUUUUCAUAUUACCUUGGAUUAUGUUUCUUUGAUUUUGGAAUUUAUAAUUAACAAAUGGUUUUUGAAAUUUAUUGAUCUUGGGAUUAUGGUUUUAAAACUUAUUUUGAAAAAAAGUCAUGGUUUUGAAUAUACUUAUAUUGUUUUUAGAAGUUCAAAUUUAUUGUAAAUUUUAGGAUGUUACACAAUUGUAUUGGAUUGAGUGCGAAAUUUGAAAAUCCAAUUGGAUUACUUGAAGGCAAUGUUACUUUGUUAGUCUUAUUUAGCAUAAUUGUGUGCGGUUUUAUUUUUAGUUAUCGUAGUUAUAUUUGGUUAUUCGAUAGAAAGAGAUUAGAAUUGGUUGGAUAAUGGAUAACUACUGAAUUAAACCAAUAAAAAAAUAUCCAAUAGAUAGAAUCGAUCUAAUCCAACAUCCAAUUGGAUCGAUUUGGUUUGAUUUUUUUAUGAUGAAUUGGAUUGGACCGGUUGACAAAUCCAACAUCUAAUGGAUGAUUAGAUUGGAUUGGUUCCAUCGAAAUCCAUUGGAUUUGAACCGCUGAUCACCCAUAAUUUGGUUAUUAUGUUUUUUUCAAUCAGCUGCUGGAACAUGAUGGUUCUAAAAACAUUUUGCAAAAAGGUAAGAAUCAGCCAUAAAGUCACAUUACCUUUCAUUGUUGAUGGUUGUGGAAUGUGAACUACUUUUUAUUAAAUUAUAAAUUAUCUAAGGAUGAAACUGCAUUUCCUUUCUUCAUAUCACUAUAACACAUUACAUUAUUUUUGUAUGUUUUUAUAACAUCAAAUCUUUGUUGUGAAACAAGGUUUAUUAUUAACAUGAGUUGGUUUGAGCUUUAACAAAAUUUUAAGAUAAUUAACUAUUUCAUACAAAUGAUUGUUCCAUGGAUUAUAUCAUUAUUAUUAUUAUUAUUAUUAUUAUUAUUAUCAUUAUAAAUCUUAUAAUAGAAGUCACUUGUGACAUAUAUCCUUAUUAUUAUCAUUAUCAUCAUUAUAAAUCUUAUAAUAGAAGUCACUUAUGACGCGGUUCAAGAUAACUCCCUAUAUUGAAGUGCAAAUAAUAAAGAUACGAAUGAUGGAUGUUACGUAAUAAGAUUAUAAUUUGAAAUAGUAUGCUAGAAAGUAACAUGACAAACAAAUCCUGAAACCGUAAACAACAAACAUACAAAAGCCAGUUUGGUAUCAAGAACAAGGUUGGACCGAAACCGUAAACAACAAACAUACAAAAGCCAGUUUGGUCCAAAACCCGAAACCCGAUUUAGUACCCGGAACUGGACCGGACCGAACCCCGACCCGCUACACCUAAAAACGGUCCAGUUCUCGGGUAAGGUAAUUCAUGGUUUUCGGUCUUCAGGCUGGUCCGGUUCGGGUUCUGCUCGUUGCUCUAUAUUGAACCAUAUUAAUUUGAAACUACGAAAACUCUUCGGCUUAUAUUUUAAGUUUCUAUUUGGUGUGUUAGCUGAAAAAACUAGUUUUUAACUUAUAAGCUAGUUUAUCCAUAAACUAUCUCGGAUAACUUAGACAAAACUGCAAAAUUGGUCCUUGUGGUAUGCAUUUUUUCUGAGGUUUAAUCCAAACCUCGAUUUUUUUGGAUUGGUGGUCCUUUUUGGUCCCUUGAAAAAUUGAAAAGACUAAAAUGCCCUUCUGAACAGUUUAUAUGUUAUUUUCUAUUUAAUUUAAAAUUAUAUUAAUUAAAAAUAUAGGGCCCACCUCUUUCUUUCUUUCUUUCUUUCUCUCUCUCUCUCUCUCUCUCUCUAUAUAUAUAUAUAGCCAUUUGGGUUUGUCUUUGACAAACAUCUAAUAACAUCUUCAUAAAUUCAAGAACACUCAAGAACAUCUUAUGCCAUCACCACCAUUCGACCACCGUCCUCCACCACCACUGUCUGCCACCUCCAUCUCCACCUGAACUUUUUAUACCACUUUAUAUCCGCCUAAAAUCAUCCCAAAAACAAAAAUCAUACACAAAAUAUGGGUUUGUUCUUGAGUUUCCCCUUAAAAAUAAUCACUAGAUCUGAUGCCUCAUCAAGAGCUCAUGAACACACACACCCACCCACAUUCAAGAACACAUUCAUGAACCCCAUAUCUGAUGAGCACACAAACACAAACACACAUUAUAUCAGAUCUGAUGAAGGGUUUUUGGAUGAACACAUUCAAGAACAAAUUUUUGAACCCUAGAUAUAAGGAACACACGAACAAAAUCAGAUCGAGUUCAUGGGUUCUCGGGUUCUUCAUCCAAAAAACAAAGAUCUAAAACCAAAACGAACAUUUGACCCCUCAGUGGCAGAUUUCUUCGUCCCCAUCUUCCAAAAACCCAUAUUGUAUGUGUGUAUUUUGUGACAUCCCCGAUUUCACGGCCACAAAAGACCGAUUUGAUUAUGAUUAUUUAAAUCAGAAUAUUCUUUUCAAAAGAGUAAUAAUGUGGAAUUUGUUCCAAAAAAUAUGACAAUAUCAUUAUUAAAGCAUUUCCGAGGAAAUGUAUUUCAUUUAUAUUUAAAAACCUUGGGAUGUCAUGGUCAAUACAACAACAUAAGCAUAAAACGUAAUAUUACAGGCCUUACAAUAGUUUAUUAUUCUAUUGGCCUAUUCUCCUUUAAAUCUCACUCCAAAUUUAAACUCAUCACACCUAUGCUCUUACGCUGCUACCUGUGAAACAAAGAAACUGAGUGGGUUAGGCUUCGGAAAGCCUGAUGAGCACAUAGGGUUUUCAACCCACAAUAAUUAAAUUUAUUAAUUUCAUCAAUCAAUCAACUCGGUUAUCCGUUCCCGUUAUCCUCACUUUUUGUCCCUAAAACAUCUAAAUUAAGGGACUUAGCCUAAGGAUUUUUCAUCGGGGUGACAGCACUGCAUAGGGGAUUCCUCAACAAUAUAUGUUAAAAGGCAACCAUAGGGGAAUGGAGUACAUCUGGUGAACAUUUAGUUCAAAAACACCUACAUGUUUCGAGCCUACCACCGUUCCACUAGACUGUCUAGAAUAGUUUGUGGUCGUCAUCUAUACUCCGCUAGAUGACUGGAUCAUCUUAAACACUCUAGGCCUAUCAUUAUUUAUUUUAUCAUCUAUAUCAUCUACCCAUCUUUACCCUUUAUAUUUAUAGGUACAAAAUACAUACAUAGUUUAAAUCGAAUAAAACAUGUAUAUUUUGUUCAUCCAACAUACAUAUCAAGAACACAGAUAAUAUACACACAUAACACGUAAUUUUUAUUAAAUACUUCAUAUUUAUGUAUAAGAUGAAAAUAACUAUGCACUCACUUGACUAGUUAGUGGUUACUAACUAUGUUCUUAAUCGUCGUUAUAUCACACUUUCUUUAUUUAUGACUCCUUGCUCGAAAAUUCUGAACUCUAAUUUCAAAAUUUCUGGCCCUUCUUUAUAUCGAGUAUAUCUUUGGCUAUUAUUGUUUUCUAUCAUAAGAAUUGCUCAAAGGAUACCUCUAUUUAUAUAAAGGAUUUUUGAAUCGCCCGUACAAUAUCAAAAGAUUAGUCACCCAAAAAAAUUACACGUAUAACUUCAAUAAAUUAGAUGUGUACGAACAUACUUGAAAGGUUAACACAUAUUCUUCUGAUAUUGACUCUAAAUUAGAAGGUGUAUUAUUACUUCUCUUUUGUCAACACAUAUCAUUUUAAUUAAUAAAAUAUGUACGACAUGUAUUAUAUUUCUUACAGGUAUGUUGGUUUGCAAUUUACAAAUCAAUUAUAGUUACAUUUAUGGUCCAUAAGUUAUUAUUGUAUUAACACAAUAUAUCAUUCAAGUUACACUGUAGUCCCUCAGCUGCAUGGAGCCCCUAAUAAGAAUAAAGAACAAGUAAGAGACGAUCACCCACUUAUUUGUUUGGAUCGGUCCGAUCCAAUCAAAUUAAGUAAAUUCAACUUAAUUCCGGUUUACAAAACAUUGAUUCAAAUAGUUCAAACUAAAUUCAAAUUCGGUAUGAAUUAAUCAAAUUACAAUUCGAUUUUCAAGAGUCGGAAUGUUUUAAAAUAGUUAUAAUUUGAAUAUUAGCUGACUUUAUAAAAGAAAUAUAAUCAAAUGGUUAGUUGUAAAUUAAAAUUUAUAAACUGUUAAGGAAAAUAUAUUUUGAUUCAUUAGAUAAAAAAAUCUUGAAAAAAAAAUACAUAUUAAGGUUUUUAUUAGGAGAGUGUUUCUAACCUAUUUAAAAAACAAUUCAGUAAAUUAAUAAAUAAUUAAAAGUAUAUAUUAAAAAUUAAAAUAUAUAUAUCUAUUCUAAUAAAUGAAAGUGUUUUUUGUCACAUGUUACACUCUCACUCAAUUUAUCAAAUGUCAUUUUGUGGUUAUUUUGAAUUAAUUUAUUUUUCCAAAUGUCAUGUUAUGUUUUUUUUUUUAUUUUAAUAAAGUUCACAUAAUAUUUAAAUGUAAUAAUUACAAUAAAUUUAGUAAUAAAUAAAUAUAAAUUUCAUUAAUGGAUAAAAAAAUCAAUUUUAAAAGAUAAAAAAAAUCAAUUUUUAUAAUUCAUUAUUUUUUUUUUAUAAAUUCAAAGUUCUUAAAUAUUUAGACAUUUAUAAUUAAUUUUUUUGAUUAACUCAUAUAAUCCAUGAGUCUUAUAGUUUACAAAAUAUUUAUCAAAUAAAGAUAUACUUGCAUGCUGUAAGAUAAUUUUUUUUACUAAUUUACCACCCCGGCCUUUCUAACAAUAAUUUGUAUUAUAUAAAAGACAAUGUUUUCUAAAUAAAUAAAAGAUAUUAGUUUAUUUUAUAUAUAGACAACCACAUAUCAUUUCCAUAUAUAACAUGAUGGUUGUUCAGAUCCGUGAUUAUUUAAUUUAAACUAUUAAAUAUGUAUUUUAUGAGUCGGUGAUUUCUAACACUAUUAAAAAAAGGGACAUUGUAACGAAACUAAAAGGCCGAGUUUCCUGUAAGCAGCUGACUGAAGCCAGACAGUCAAGCCAAGCUGAUUCUCCCCGCUCUCGACCAAAAUCUAUUACUAUUUUCAUCAUCACCGACACCCUCCCCCUCUCUUUUCUUAACAAAUCAAUACAAAUGAUUAAUAUGCAGUAAUCAUCGAAAGUGAGAUCAAGAAUGGGCCCUUUUCUUCUCACGCCAAUGCCCAUCAAACUUCAUUGAUUAUCAAGUUCCUUCAAAUUCAAAUCAAGAACGAAAAAAUCAAUUUCUAUCAUCUGGGGCUCUUCUUUAGUCCCCUGUUUCUACUUUAAUUGGAAUACAUGGAGGCAAAUGCAGGAUUAGUUGCCGGAUCUCAUAAGAGGAACGAGUUGGUGAGAAUAAGACAUGAUUCCGAUGGAGGGGUAUGUGUUCUUUCGAUUUUUCUUGAAUACCCUUUUGGAUUUUGAGUGUUCAGAAAUCAAUUUUAUCGACUCUUGUAUAGAUCUAAGUGAUUUAACAGUAGGCUAUUUUGUUUAACCCAAGUUUGUUUAUUUUGUUUGGAUCUGAGUGAUCAGUGUGACCAGUGAGCUCAGUAAUGAGUGAUGAUACGACUUUUGACUUAUUAAUCCUACCUUUUUGUUAAAUCUUCAAAGAGGGUUUUUUGUUAAAUUUGUGGAUUUAGAUCUGAAUCAUCGAGAUGAAAGUUUCUGUUUUCAGCGCCCAUCUUGAUUAAUUUGACAAAAUUUUCAGCUUUAGCACAUGAUGAUUUCUUAAAUUAUUUAAUUUUGAUUGUGACGUUGAGUGUUGAUGAUGCAGCCGAAGCCUUUAAAGAAUAUGAAUGGACAGAUAUGUCAAAUCUGUGGCGACACCGUCGGCCUGACUGAAAACGGCGACGUUUUUGUUGCUUGCAACGAGUGCGCAUUCCCGGUUUGUAGACCCUGCUACGAGUACGAAAGAAGAGACGGAAAUCAAGCAUGCCCUCAAUGCAAAACUCGAUACAAAAGACACAAAGGUUAGUUUUUGAGUUUUUGUUCGUAUCAAGAACACAUCAAACAUAUGAUUUUUGUAAGAAUUAAAGAGAGAUACAAAUGUUUUUAGGGAGUCCCCGAGUUGACGGUGAUGAUGACGAGGACGAUGUUGAUGACCUGGAAAACGAGUUUGAUUAUGCACAAGGGAGACGACAAUGGCAAGGAGAAGAUCCGGAUCUUUCUUCAUCUUCUAGAAGACAUGAAUCACAGCAACCAGUUCCCCUUCUCACUAAUGGCCAACAAGUAAGAAAAUUACUUAUAUACCCUUUUGUUCUAAGCAUUACCUUUUUAACUAAAUUCAGAGUGUUAUUUUCAGGUAUCUGGUGAAAUCCCAAUUGCCACACCGGACAAUCUAUCUGUAAGAAGUACAUCGGGUCCAUUAGGCCCUGGUGACAAGCCUGUCCGCUAUAUGGAUCCAAGACAACCAGGUUACUUUCUUUUUUUUUUUUUUUUUUUUUAAAAAAAAAGUAUUAUUAUUAAUCAGAUAAUGUUGUAGUAAUUAUGCUAAUGAUGCCCUUUUAAUAAAUAGUUCCUGUAAGAAUUGUGGACCCAUCAAAGGAUUUAAAUUCAUAUGGGCUUGGGAAUGUGGACUGGAAGGAAAGGGUAGAAGGCUGGAAACUAAAACAAGACAAAAACAUAAUGCAAAUGGCAAACAGAUACAAUGGCGGUGAAGGGAGAGGAGGUGAGAUUGAAGGCACGGGAUCAAAUGGAGAAGAAUUGCAACUGUAAGUAGUAAACUAAAGGGUACUUUAGGAAUAUCAUAUUUGUCGACUUAUGAUUUGACUUUUUUUUUUUUUUUUUUUUUUUUUUUUUUUUANUUUGUUUUGUUUUUUUUUUUUUUUUUUUUUUUUUUUUUUUUUUUUUUUUUAAAUAUAUAUAGGGUUGAUGAUCCAAGACAAUUAAUGAGCCGUGUGGUGCCUAUUUCAUCUUCUCAUUUGACUCCAUAUCGAGUUGUGAUUAUAUUGCGAUUGAUUAUUUUGGGAUUUUUCUUGCAAUAUCGGUUGACUCAUCCUGUUAAUGAUGCGUAUCCUUUGUGGCUUGUAUCUGUUAUUUGUGAGGUGUGGUUUGCUUUUUCUUGGCUUCUUGAUCAAUUUCCAAAAUGGUCCCCCGUUGAACGUGAGACCUUCCUUGAUCGCCUUGCAUUGAGGUAAGUAAGUAAUGGGAUUUAGAUUUUGGGCUAAUUGCAAGAAAUAGCAAUGUACUUUCAUUUGUAGUCAUCAUCAUGGGCAAUUAGGUAAUUUUAGCUUAAACAAUGAAAAUUUGUUGUUUUGUAGGUUUGAUAGGGAAGGAGAGCCUUCACAAUUGGCACCUAUAGAUGUCUUUGUGAGUACAGUGGAUCCAUUAAAAGAGCCUCCUCUCAUCACUGCAAACACAGUGUUGUCUAUUCUUGCUGUGGAGUAUCCUGUUGACAAAGUCUCCUGCUAUGUAUCUGAUGAUGGAUCUGCUAUGCUUACAUUUGAGUCUCUUUCUGAGACAGCAGAGUUUGCAAAAAAGUGGGUCCCAUUCUGCAAGAAGCAUAGCAUCGAGCCCAGAGCCCCUGAGUUUUAUUUUGCUCAAAAGAUAGAUUACUUGAAGGACAAGAUCCAGCCUUCUUUCGUCAAAGAACGUAGAGCAAUGAAGGUGAGUUUUACCACUUUUAUGUUUUAUGUUUUAUGAUUUCUUCCAGUGUUUUACCAAAUACCUAAAACACCCUUUUAUGGCAGAGAGAAUACGAAGAAUUCAAAGUUCGGGUCAAUGCACUUGUAGCAAAAGCACAAAAGAUGCCGGAAGAAGGCUGGUCUAUGCAGGAUGGAACUCCUUGGCCUGGAAACAACCCCCGUGAUCAUCCUGGAAUGAUUCAGGUAUUUGAAUGAUUGUUUGGUUGCUGAAAAUUUGUAUAUCAACAGUUGAUUGUUGACUUCUCUUGUUUAUGAUGAUUGGAAUUGGAUAGGUGUUCUUGGGGCACAGUGGAGGUUGCGAUACAGAUGGAAAUGAGCUACCUCGUCUUGUUUACGUGUCCCGUGAAAAACGUCCUGGGUUUCAACAUCACAAGAAAGCCGGUGCCAUGAAUGCUUUGGUAUGGAUCUCUUAAAAAAACAUGGAAAUUUUUUGUGUUUAUUGGUUGUUUAUGGAUGCGAUGCAAUUUGGUGUUACAGAUUAGGGUUUCGGCGGUUUUGACGAAUGGCGCGUACCUUUUGAACGUCGAUUGUGAUCACUACUUCAACAACAGCAAAGCUCUAAAAGAAGCCAUGUGUUUCAUGAUGGAUCCUGCCUAUGGAAAGAAGACAUGCUAUGUUCAAUUCCCACAGAGAUUCGACGGGAUUGAUUUACACGAUCGAUAUGCUAAUCGCAAUAUCGUCUUCUUCGAUGUGCUUUUCUGAACUUUACAGAGUCAAACUUAAAAAAAAAAAUUCAAAUUCAAAUUCCGAUCUUGUUGGGAUUUCAAAAAUCAAAAAUUGACAUUUCUAUAUAUAUAUAUUUUGUACAGAUUAACUUGAAAGGGCUGGAUGGGAUUCAGGGGCCGGUUUACGUGGGAACUGGUUGCUGUUUCAAUCGACGAGCUCUGUAUGGAUACGACCCUGUUUUAACAGAGGCUGAUUUAGAACCAAAUAUCAUUGUGAAAAGCUGUUGUGGUUCACGAAAGAAGUCGAGAAACGUUAACAAGAAGUACGUGGAUAAAAAAGCAGUGAUGAAAAGAACGGAAUCCAACACUCCAAUUUUAAACAUGGAUGAUAUCGAUGAGGGUGUUGAAGGUUUGAUUUUGAGUCUUUCACUUUAGUUUGUGGGUCCAGUGAAUCAUUAAUGUUGACUAAAUUCUUUUGUUUUUGAAAGGGUAUGAUGAAGAUAGAUCGUUACUAAUAUCGCAAAAGAGCUUAGAGAAGCGAUUUGGUCAAUCUCCUGUAUUUGUUGCUGCAACUUUCAUGGAGAUGGGAGGAAUUCCCCCCACUACCAAUCCAGCUACCCUUUUGAAGGAAGCAAUACAUGUUAUUAGCUGUGGUUAUGAGGAUAAAACCGAGUGGGGUAAAGAGGUAAUUUUACCCUUCUAGCUUCCGAUUCUUGUUAUACAUGGUCAUCGGAAAAACAAUAAUCUUCAUGUUAUUUUGUUUUGUGUACAAAUGCAAGCAGAUUGGAUGGAUUUAUGGGUCUGUGACAGAAGAUAUUUUAACUGGAUUCAAGAUGCACACAAGAGGAUGGAUCUCAAUAUAUUGCAUGCCACAACGUCCGGCUUUCAAGGGUUCUGCUCCGAUCAAUCUUUCCGAUCGUCUGAACCAGGUCCUCCGGUGGGCUUUAGGUUCAAUCGAGAUUUUACUCAGUAGACAUUGCCCCAUCUGGUAUGGGUAUAAUGGUAAAUUAAAACUCCUGGAGAGGCUCGCAUACAUAAACACCAUCGUCUAUCCCCUCACCUCCAUCCCUCUUCUAGCCUACUGUGUACUUCCGGCCGUCUGCCUUCUCACCGGAAAAUUCAUCAUCCCCGAGGUACGUUAAUCAUGCUUUAUGAGUUGUACGAUAUGCAUGAAUGUUUGUACAUGUUGAAAAUUGGGGGUUUUGCAACAGAUAAGCAACUAUGCUAGUAUGUGGUUUAUUCUUCUCUUUAUCUCCAUCGCUGCAACCGGAAUCUUGGAGCUCCGGUGGAGUGGCGUGAGUAUUGAAGACUGGUGGAGAAACGAACAGUUUUGGGUGAUAGGAGGCACGUCCGCUCAUCUAUUCGCCGUCUUCCAAGGUCUUCUCAAAGUUCUCGCCGGAAUCGACACCAAUUUCACCGUCACAUCCAAGGCAAACGACGAAGACGGUGAUUUUGCAGAACUCUAUAUAUUCAAAUGGACGGCGCUCCUCAUCCCACCCACCAGUGUUCUGAUCGUAAACCUAAUCGGCAUAGUUUCCGGCGUUUCAUCUGCAAUCAACAGCGGUUACCAGUCGUGGGGCCCACUUUUUGGGAAACUGUUUUUUGCAAUCUGGGUUAUCGUCCAUUUAUACCCGUUUCUCAAAGGUCUGUUGGGUCGGCAAAAUCGAACCCCCACCAUUGUUAUCGUGUGGUCGAUUCUGCUUGCUUCGAUUUUCUCCCUUUUGUGGGUUCGUAUCGACCCCUUUACCACAGACGAUACUCUUGAUGCAGUUAAAGGACAAUGCGGGAUCGAUUGUUAGGUAUAUAUAUAUAAAGUUUCUGAUUUGCAAAUUUGUGUAAGCCGUGAUGUGAUGCGAUGUGAUGUGUACGAAUGAUAUAAUUAUUUGAUUUAUUGUUGUUAUCCCACGAAUUCAAUGAAAAAUUUAAGUAUAACCUUAUCUUAAUAUGUCGGUUCAUUACAUUCAAUUAAGUUGAGUUGUAUGCAAAUUUCUUGUUAUUAUACAGUAUAUUACAAAAUUCAAACACUAUCUUCUUCAUAUUUAAUUUCAUGAAUUUAGUCUUCAACAAGUACAUAUAUAUAAAACAAAACAUGAAAUUCCAUACACACCAAGGUUCAUGUCAGAUCCUGAAACAAAAGAUUAAAGAAAAUAAAGUUAGAUGGUUGUAAAUUGUAACCUAAUGAAAUAUAAGAAAAGUUGGGGUUUUACUUACUCAAUAUAUUCAACGUUGAUUUUCUCCCUUUGAGACUUGGAAAUGGCAGAAAAAGCAUCAUUUGACAAAACAAUAGUCGAAGGACACGGCCUUUUGGAACAAAAAUCUACCACCUUAACAUCAAUGGUACCAUCUCUACAUGGUUUAUUAUUUCCACUCAAACACUUGAGUCUGUAUCGCCUACCACAUGCUGCACCGUUAUCCCAUAGUCCUUCGCUCACUGACACAAAUAAGUUCCCCAAUGGGAAUUGAUCUGCUCGGUUGCCAUUGCACCUUGUGGCUACAUUAAAAAUACAUAUAAAAAAAAAUACUUCAAUUUAACUAUUAUUUAUUUAUUUAUUUACAAUGUCAAAAACAUAAUAAUUAGAAUCAUAUUUAAACUUACGUGUAUAAGGAGGCUCAUAGGAUGAGGCAGUGCCAAUUUCACUCAAACCACACUUGAUGUUAUUGAAGAUUAACAAUAAAAAUAAAUUCACAAUCACUCCAAUUCCCAUCGCUACAAAUUCCCUUUUCUUUUUUCUCUCUCUCUGUCAAAUACUAUGGUAGUAAGAUGCACCCCCUUGGAUUAUAUAUAGAUAUCGUAUGGAUUUAUUUAAAAGAUAUAGGUAUAGUUUGAGAUAUAUUGUCACGUGUUUUUUAAUAGAAAUGUGCUUAGCAUGUAUAUAGAAUGAAUGAAAAGUUGGUGAUCAAAUUGGAUAAACUAUAGAUGUUUAAUGUGAUAUAUAUCUACCUUUGCGCAUGAAAAAUGGAUUUAAUAGGUUUUGGUCAAUUGUGAUAUAAAGUUCUUGAUGCCUACCACUAAUUAGUUUAAGGAAAGAUGGUUUCUAACGUAAACAUAAAACAACUUUUCUAUCGUCUCUUUUAAACAGAAAAAAUAGUCAAUUUUGACAAUGGCACAAAAAGGCAAUGGAAAAGCAUAUGUAAGGAUUAUUAGAUAAAACGAUAGUGUUUUAAUGGAGAAAAAUUAUAUUUUCGGUGAAUUUUUUUUAGUUGAUAAACCCAUUGUUGGUGUCGAAUCUAUGAAAUUAUUUUGGCUUAUACGUCGGCUGACCGAUAUGAUUACCAAAGAAAGGUGCAUCCAGUACAAUCACCACUAACUAAAACCAAUGGCUCUAAACUGUUCGCAAUUUUUUAAGGAAGGGAAAUUCAUAUUUGAAUUCGUCACUACAAAGUGUUACAUGAUUCGUUAUUAAUAAAUAUUUUAUAUUACCUUUUAUCAUAUAAAUAAACAAUCCAAAUUUUAUUUUUAGAUGCAUAUUUCACAAAGCUUUUGUGUUUUUUUCGGUUCAAGUUUGUGUUAAAGUAAUUCAAUAUAGAUGGAGAAUGUCGUUCAAUAAAAGUAGUUUGUGUUAAAGUAAUUCUAUACAGAUGGAAAAUGAUGUUCAAUAAAAGUUUAGAAUAUCAGAUAAUCAAAAUUAGUUUGUCGAUAAGAUUUAUUAUUUUAAAAGAUGGGAUAUAUAUACUAAACUCUCAAUAUUUUUAACGAUUCAACAAAAAAGUCUUAAAUUUUAUUUUUUUAGAGUAAAAUCCUAACUAGCGGCAGUUUUUGACAUGUUUACCAUUUUUUGCCAGUUAGCCAGUAAUUAUGGUUUUACUAUAAAAAAAUAAAAUUUAUGACUUUCUUUUUCAAAUCGUGAAUUAAGACAUUACUGUAAAAAAAAAUUAAAGUUUAGGACUUUCUUAUCAAAUCGUUAAAAAUAUAGGGACUUUAGUGUAUAUAUCCAUUUUUUUGUUAGAAAUUUAAUGUCAUUAUAAUCUUUAAGUAUAAGAGUUAUUGAAAUCUGACCAAUAUGCUCUGGUCAACUAGAUUCUAUUAAAAUCAUUAACGUUUGAUUCUUGUUAAAUAGUUUUUUUUUAAUCUCAACAAAUCGACAUUGAAAAAAAUAAAGAUAAUCAAGAAAGAAAGAACCACGAUUGUGUUGAAUUUUUGCAUAAUGAUAAUCAAGAAAGAAAGAACCAGUAUCGUGUUGAGUUUUUUGCAAUCCUAAAAAUGGAGAAUUAAGAAACCGGAAAAGAAGAAAUUGUCCUUCUUACACAUUCUCCACAUUCACACAUUUUUUACCGGACAUGUGUUGUUUGUGUUUGUUGAAUUUGUUCCUCUUUUCAGUUCAAGAUUUGACGGCGAACCAAGAAAAAAGUUUUACAAGUCUUCUUACCCUCUAUCGUUCUCUCUUUUGCAUCAGUUUCCCAGAUUGUGAUCGUAGCAAAGUAAGAUGAUGAUGGUAAGAAAAAACAAUGGUGUUGCAAUAAAAAUCACAAUUAAAAGUUCUUGGGAUAGGAAUUAGGUCUCAUGAGACUGAUAAAAUUAUUUGUUUCUAGGGAAACCAAACCUAUACACUAAAGUCUCAAUAUUUUUAACGAUUUAACAAAAAAGUCAUAAACUUUAUUUUUUUGACAGUAAAACCCUAAUUACCGGCUAACCGGCAAAAAAGAGUAAAUGUUUCAAAAACUGUCGAUAAUUAGGAUUUUACUGUCAAUUGAUUUUAAUAUUUUCAUGCAAAAGACAACUGUAUUACGAAAGAAAUAACUGUUAACCGUAACUACAAUAAGGUAUUAAAGUUAUAGAAGUUUCAAUCCUAAUAACGCAUAAUUUUCACUUUUGGUUUAAUAUGUUUAUAUUAUUUAUCUAAAAAACAAAAUCAUAAUAAAUAUAUUUUGAUUAAAUGUCACAGAAAAACCACGCCCAUGUCAAUUUUGAUUGUUACAAAAUGACAAUUUUUUUGAAAAGAGAUAUCAUACCGUAUUAAUAAGGUGGUGUUUGUUUUUUUUUCAAAAGCUCUUCUAGACCUUUUAUGUCUGCAUCGCGUAGACGACCCACAAACUUUUAGUCCUAUAGACUGUUUGUUUUUUAGAAGACCGUACGCAUAAAAAAAUCUGUCCAUCCUCUUCUUGACGUAGAUGUGAACAUAUGUCUUCUAGUCUCUUUCUUAAUCUUUCCACUAAUCUUAAGAGACAAUAAAAAAGCGCAAAAAGAAUAAAAAAAUGAAAAAAAAAACCUAUCAAACCUCAUUCGUGCACCUUUUUUUUUAAUUCAUUUGCCAUGUAAACACUUUGUAAAUAUAUUAUUUUAAUGAUUUUAGCUUUAUAAACUUUAUUUGGUCAAAUAAUUUUUUGGUAUUCAUAUUUUAAAAAACUUUAUGCAUAUUUAUCCGAUGACUUUUUAUAACAGUAAUUAAAAAAGUUAAAUAUACUACAAAACUUAUGAAAGUAUUUUACGAACGUGUUUUUUUUCUUCAUAAAAUGGACAAUUAAUUUGUUAUAUAUAUAUAUAUAUGCUUAUUAUAUGAUAACUAGGCUCGUGCGUGUGAACAAGUCUCCGUUUGCCACCUAGCACGGUAUCUNNNNNNNNNNNNNNNNNNNNNNNNNNNNNNNNNNNNNNNNNNNNNNNNNNNNNNNNNNNNNNNNNNNNNNNNNNNNNNNNNNNNNNNNNNNNNNNNNNNNNNNNNNNNNNNNNNNNAUAUAUAUAUAUAUAUUGAAAAUAAGGUGGUUGUAUUAUUAAAUUACAAUGUUUUUAUAUAAGAAAUAUUGAAAAAGUCUUUUAAAUUAAAAAAAAAAUCAAUUUAUUUAGGUUUUAAUUUAUUUUAGCAGUUUGUAGAUUUUAAAAAACAAACAGUCUUCUUGCAGACUGCAGACGUUUGGUCCAUAUCUUCUACUGCAGAUGUCGUCCGCAGACUGCAGACAUUUUGCUUCUGAAAAACAAACACCAUCUAAGUUUCAAACGCAUAAACAUUUAUUAACAAAAGACAUGUAAACGUGGAUUAUGAACUAAUGACAUAGAUAUACGAUAAGUACUAUAAAGAGGAAAAAGCAUAGUUAAGAUUGACCCAAAUUGUAAUGAUUAUAGUCUUGCUAAUGUAAAUAUUUAAUUAGUUUUUCUUGAUAAUCAUGAUAAAUGAUACUUUUUGACUCAUGAGUGAUGAAUAAACAAUAGUAUAUAUAGAUUUACUAAGACGAAAAAAGACAUGAGUUUUAAUGAUAGAAUAUUAUUGAAAAAAUAAUAAAGAAUAUGAUCAACUUUAAAUUAGUGCCCGGAUAAAAUCGAAGUUUUAGAAAGUGCUGAUUAGUGGCGAUCCUUCAUUUUUUUAUAACUUUAUUUCAAAUUAAUGGUAAUCAUGUAUAAUAAUUAAUAAACUUACAAUACGCUAAUAUACAUUACAAUCAUUUUCAUCCUAUGUGAAAAUAAUUUUUGACAUAUUAUUCGUUUUCAAAUUAUAUAGAUGCAUAGGCAAUAAUAUGUCUUUUAUGUGAAAUAAUGUGUGUUUUUUUUAUGUGAAAACAUGUUUUUUAUAUAUAAAAAUAUAUUUUCACAUAAAAAAAACCUGUUAUGCAAAAAACCUUUUGGACCAAAUUUAUAUAGAAACAUAUUUUUCACAUAUAAAAACCUUUUUAUAACAAAAAUGUUUUGUAAAAAAGGUUUUUAGUAUAAAUAUGAUUUUAUAAAGCAAAAAUAACAUAUUUCGAAACAAAAUUUUGGAAAAAUAUAUGUAAAAAAAACAAAAUUUAAGAUGAAAUUGUAACAAAAUUUUAAAAUAGGGACAAAAAUAUAAAAAUUGGACCAAAUUUAUAACAAAAUUUAAAAUCUGAGAAAAAAAUGUAAAUUUUAAAACUGGGAUGACCUUAUAGCCGGGAAAAAUGAUGAAAAUGAAUAUAUUUACCUGUAUUCGUAUCUUAAUUAAAAAAAUAAUAAUUUAAAUACUUAAUUGAAUAUAAGGUUAAAAAUAUAAACACUUUAUAGAUUUUCCUAUACUAAAUACUAUAGCAAAAUAUGUGGAAUUUGGUAUUUAGUAACUUUGGUCUCACUUUUGUUAAAUUUCUAUUUUCUAUCAUUUUACUUUUUGAAAAUUCGUUUUUACCUCUCGAUUUUUCUACUUAUUAACUUUGGUCCAUCACUUUUGUUAAGUUCUCAAAUUUUCAUCCUUUUUACUUUUGAAAUUGUUGCUUUUACCCCCUUUAACUUUCAACUUUCUAGAUACUCAACUCACUCAGCAUGAAGUAUAAGAAAAAAGAGAAGAGAGAGAGAGAGAGAGAGAGAGGAAGCAGCGGGCUGAAGAACCCACAUGAGACGUCUUCUGGCGGUAACCACCAAGGCGUGGAUUUGUUACCCUAGCCGUCGCACGACUCCGUGCACCCUUGGAGAGUAAUCAGUGUUAAAACACUAAGUUGCUUGAAAUAAGGAAUUUGAAGUUAAAUUGAAAAUUUAAAUGUAGAUACGAAAACACAUCAUCUUGCUAACUUGACAACUUAACGCCAUCUUAAGUGGAUACCAUAGAAUGACCCACGAGUGGCGAAUUUAAAAAAAGAAUCACAUGGUUCCUAAUUAAGUGAAGCCAAUAAAAAAAAUCAACAAUACUUUUGGAGUCGGGUCAGGUCGGCUCAUGUACCUUAAAAGAACUGAACAAGUUCAAUCGGCUCAUGUACCUUGUAACGACCCGUCUCUGGUAUGUUGUUUCCAUGUUAUUUAUUUAGAAGUUUUCAAGAGGGACUCGGGGAGUCUAUAGCCCGACUCGUCGAGUAGAGACGGGAUUUCGAGCACGUGUAAGUCGCCGACUCAACGAGUCCAUAUUCGAGACUCGGCGAGUCCGCCUGCUAGGAAGAAACCCUAAAUCCCCGGGUUUGCUCACUAUUUAAGCAAUGUUAUGUGCCCCAAACUCGCCUCCUUCACCCUCAGAGAGCUUGAGAGAAACCCUAAACCAUUCCUUGUAUGACUAAAGUGUUUUGUGUGGAUUCUUGAAGGAAAAAGAAGAAAGGACCCAAAAAGAGGAAGUGUAGAGCAAAGAUCCAAGGCCAAAGUCAGAGUUCAUUGAGGUAUGUCUCGGAAUUAUUCUGUUUUGUGCUUAAAACCUCCAUUAGAACACCUCUAAGGCUAGUUUAAUGUAUUUUCCAAGCUUUAUAGUUGUAUGGAUGCCUUGUUGGGUCGAGAUAUCCCUAGAUCUGUUCAUUUAGGAGUUUUAGAGCCCUGAUCUAGUGCCUUUUCGAAGUUUCUUUGCUUGAGAACCCUAGAUCUAGCCUUUAUUAUGCUUUUUGAGCCUUUUAAUCUUCAUGGGUGCAUAUGGGCACGUAAAGAUAGAAUCUUUACGUGUUAAUCGAGCUUAGGGAGCCCAGAUCUAUAAGUUUUAUGCGUUGGAUUCAAGCAGAAUCGAGUUUAUAGUAGCUGCAUGCAUGCGACUCGGCGAGUCGUUCUUCCGACUCGGUGAGUCGAGUCGUGAGUCCCCGAUUUUUCCUCUUUUGAGUAAUGCCGAGUGGGGACCAGUGAGUAGUAGAGUGGACUUAGUGAGCUGGAGGUCAGACUCAGUAAUGGAGGGACUCGACGAGUUGUUCAUACAACUCGGCGAGUCCAAGGCAAUCUUCUUAGCUCAAGAACAACUCGUCGAGUUGUUCAUACGACUCGGCGAGUCGGAUGCAGAUAGCUUGAGUUCUAGAAUCGAAAGGAAACUCGUCGAGUUUAUGCCAUACUCGACGAGUAGCAGCGAGUAGGGUUGAGAAGUGAGAAUAGGGACUAGGCGAGUUGGCGGCCCAACUCGGCGAGUCAGGUCAACUGUAGGUUGACUUUGACCAGGAGAGUUGACUUUGACCAGGGGUAAAAGAAUCAUUUUACCCCAAUACAGUGAUUAGUAUUUGAUUGAGUGUGUUUAUGGAAUUGUAGCCGGAGAGAUACCAGAGCAGCAGCAGAUAGCUUCCAGAGCCAUACAUUCAGCAGCCAGUUUACGAGGUGAGUUUCCUACCAGUAGGAACGGGUCUACGACAACAAUGCCGGCCCGUUUAGCUAGCAGUUAGUUCCGGACUUCGGUCCGAAGCAGUAGUUCAAGGUGCUUGAUGUUGUGUUUCGGGCAUGUCUAUGUGUUAUGUUAGCAGAUACGUGUUUAUGUUAUGCUAUGUUCAGACAGUUCCGGAUUUCGGUCCGAUGCAGCUAGUUCCGGACUCCGGUCCGAUGCAGGGGACAAGGUCCCAGUCAGUUCCGGAUUUCGGUCCGAUGCAGACAGUUUCGGACUUCGGUCCGAUGCAGUCAAUUCCAGACUUCGGUCCGAUGCAGUGGGCAAGGCCCAGUAUGUGCUUUAUUUGUUAUUGUGUGGUAUGCGGUAGUUUAGGGGAGCUCACUAAGCUUCGUGCUUACAGUUUCAGUUUUGGUUUCAGGUACUUCCGCAAGUAAAGGGAAGAACUCGGGAUGAUGCAUCGCACACACCACAACUUCAGUUUUUGUCGUGGGAGUUGAUUCAGUUUCUUAGAUAUGUUUUGAUACUGUUGUGACACAUUUUUUCUCACAGUAUUUUAUUAUGUGAUACUCAGUUUUAUGAUCUUUGUUAUAAUAUAAAUGAAAUUAUCGGGUCGUAUUUUUGGGAUGUUUCAAGUACCUUGUGCCACCGAUUAAAAAAAUUUUAAAAACCGAUUGAAAUAUAACUGAAAAAGACAUACAGCUUAACGAAAAACUAGUUGAUUAUUAGUCCAUUGAUAAAGCGGCGAACGCAGAGUGAGAGUCUUUGGCAUGUGGGCUUUCAUUUUAUUAGAACAACUUGUUUAUUUAUUAAUAUUUUGAGAGUGCCGAUUAAGAGUAGUUAACUUUUUAUUAUCAAUCUCAUAAUUUAAAAUAACAAAUUGUCCCUAAUAACUUAUAUUUUUCUCUUUUUAAAGUGGUUUUUUUUUUUAAAAAUAAAAAUAAAAAUAAACUCAAUGUAGGUUCUCUAUUUUUUUAAGACUAAAUUACACAGAUGGUCCCUGUGGUUGGCACGAGAGACCAAAGAUAGUCCUUAUGAGGAAUUUUGGACUUGUAUGGUCCCCGUGGUUCCAAAUUGUUGCACGAAGAGUCCUUAUGACAUACUCCGUUUAAUUGUUGUCGUUUAUUUAAAUCACGUAACCCUCACACGAGGGUAUUUUGGUCUUUUGCUUAUCCCUUCUCUCUCUCAUAUCUUUAUAUGAUCUGCAAAAGAUUUCCCUUCCCUAUAAAAAUUAAACCCCCAUCACUUCCUUCAUUAUUUUUCGUCUCCUCUAUUCUCUCUUCUCUCUUCUCUCUGCUGUGUCUUUCUAAGAAACUUUGCUUAAGAAUGGUAAAUUGUUUUUGUGGAACGCAAGCGGUGAUAGUGACAUCAUGGAUGGAUCUCAACCCAGGUUGUAUGUUUUGGAAAUGUCCUAGCAGUUGCGGUUUCAUUGCCUGGUUUGAUGAGCCGAUGUGUCGAAGGGUUGUGGCUGUCAUUCCAGGUUUGCUAAGAUCCAUGAACAAGCUUCAAGAAUCUCUGCUGCAAGCAAGUUUUGAAGCAAAAAAAGUGAAGAUGAUGCUAGUUUUUAGUUGGGUUUUCUUUUUCAUGUAUGUGUAUAAAAGAUGCUAAUAGUAUUAGUCUGGAGAUGAUGGUUCUUUUGCUUGUGGGUAGAUGAUGGUUCUUUUGCUUGUGGUUAGAAUCAGAUAAUAGUAUUAAUUUGAAGAUGAUUUCGUUUUGUUUGUUUGUGAUGCAAGAAAUGUUCGUAUGUAUGAAUGGAAUGCUUUUUAUUUGGGAAACUUUUAGUCUGCUACCAUUGUAAAAUAUUGGUCAGGAACUUAAUGAGUGUAAAAUAUUGGUCUGCAACUUAAUGAACCGUGCAGAUCCAUUAAAGUAUAAAAUAUGAAAGUGAAAGGUUUUUGUAGGCUUUAGACCAUUGUAGAGCCAUAACAACAUUAGAAAUGUUCAAAAAUAAAAUGCAAACUUUUGCAUAGUCAUAAAGUUCAUUACAUAACCUUAAAGUGCAAAGUCAUAAUACCAAAAAAAUAUCAAAAGAGCUUGCAGACUAAUGUAUCAUAACCAAAAGAACCAUCUUAGUCUAGCACCCUGUGUGAACCAUAAUACCAACAAAAGAUAAAGACACACAAUAACCAACUUAGUCUGACCUUUCUAAGGUACCAAAACAAACAACACAAAAGACCUUUCUAAGGUUCCAUAACAAACAACACAAAAGACAACAAAUCAAACUUUUUCCUUCAUUUUGGAUUUAUCCUUAAGUUUGGUUUUCUCCUUCAUUUUGGGUUUCUCCUUUUUUCCAUCUCCCUGCUUCUUUGCCUUGCUAAGCUUCUUGCCCCCUGCCACCACAUUUCUAACUUCAGUUUGUCCCCCUUGUCCCUUGCAACUCCUAGAGUUGUGACCCUUGUUAUUGCAUUUGCUACAAGUAACUGUAAGGAACUUCUUGGUCAAACUUUUACCUUGAUUAUUUGGUUCUUCAGUUUGAGCUCUCUUUCUCUUCUUUUUUGGUCUCCCCACCUGCAUAAUUAAUAAAUUAUAAAACAGUAUAAACGUAUACUAACUUGUAAAUUGAAAAUUAUUUACCUGUUUAGUAUGCUUAGGAGGUGUUAGUGUUAUGGGGAAAUCUGACUUUGGCCACAUACUUCUUCCAUUGAUAGGUUGAACUUUGUACUUGUACAUUUCAUUCCAUGUGCUUAACCUAUAACAUGGAUGUACCCACUCCUCAAGAGGUGGGACAUUUUUUCCCAGUGCCUGCAACUACAAUUCCUGUCCCUCCAAUUAACCACAAAUUGUUCCCCCAUUGUCCCAGUAACUUGAGUCUUAUCAGCACCAUUAAAUAUGCAAGUGUAUUGAGAAGCAUCUUUCUUAACUCCAUCUAAAAGUUUUGUGGCUGGGGGGGGGAGAGGGGCNUUAUCUAUCACAUUUUGCACAAUACAAAUUCGUUUCAUUAAGUAUUCCCUAAUAUAUUCUAAACAUGUAAUUAUAGGUUUGUCUCGAGCAUCUAACAACUUUGAGAUGAAAACUUCACAUAAAUUAUUCAACAAAAUAUCUGUAUGUGCUCUUCCUGUACAAUGCAACAAAAUAUCUUAUAAGAAUCUGUCAAAGUGUAAAUCUUCCUUGAAUCUGUCAAAGUGUCUAACUGUUGUUGCUGUUGCACAUUCCCAUAAAUGAUCUCUGUGCUCCUUCCCCCUCCAUUGUAGCUUCAUGUUUUCGUGAAUAUGUCUUAAACAGAACCUGUGUUCAGCGCUAGGUAAUAGGUUGGCAAUGGCAGAUAAAAUCCCCUAAUUAACAAGUAACAAAAAUGUUAUUUUCUAAAUGUAGUAGACAAAAUUACAAAGAUGUCAUGAACAAGUAUCAUAAGAAGAUUAACCUUUUGCCUGUCAGAAAUAAAUGUGAAGUUUGAAUUUGUAGAGAGCUCCAAAUCUUCACCUAGACACUCUAGAAACCAACUCCAUGAGCUUUUGUUCUCGGCUUCAACUAUGGCAUAUGCUAGUGGGUAGAUCCGAUUAUUGGAAUCAAGACCCACAACAGUGAGAACCUAUCCAGUGUAAGGUCCCUUCAUGAAAGCCCCAUCGAAACCUAAAAAAUCUCUUAAACCUGCCUUAAAACCCAGUUUUAAUGCACCUAAACAGACAUAAAUUCUCUUAAACAUCCUAGUUUCCAAGUCUGCAUUUGGUUCACUGUAUACAUCAAUCUUCACAAUUGUUCCUGGGUUGCACUGUUGUAAUUCUAAUACGUAAUCCCUGAGAAGGCUGUAUUGCUUUUGAUAAUCUCCAUAAACAUGUUUCUGUGCAAGUUGUUUAGCCCUAAAGACCUUCAUUCUUGACAUCCCCACCUCGUAUAUCUUUUGUAACUCUACACACAAAGCUUUGACUGGGAUAGUUGGGUUUCCUUCCACUUCUUGAAGAAUGAUGGUUGUAAGAAACUUAGGCCUCAUUUGAUAGUUGCCGAUUGAGAAAGUGCUGACUGAGAAAGGUCUGUCUGGGUAAGAAAUCCUGAUUGGGUAAGAAAUCCUGUUGUUUGAUUGUACAUCUGACUGAAUGUGCUGAGUGAUGAAAAAUGACCAUUUUACCCUGCUGUUAUAUAUAUAUAUUGAUGGAUUAAAUUGCUGAAUAAUUAUAAAAACAUACAUAUUGUCAUACAAAAUGUAAAUUACACACAAAUAAAAAAUGUCAUACAAAAUGUAAAUUAAACAUAAAUCAUUUAAUAUCCAAAUAAAAACAUAAUGAAAUUUAAAAUAACAUAAUAAUUUAAUGUAAAGUAGGUGAAAGUAGUCGAUUUGCAAUCUGAUCACGCAAAACACGCAUAUAUUCAACGGCUUCUGGACCCCAUUCUAUGCCUUGUAUGUUUUCUCUAUCAAUUCCCCCACCUUGGACGUCAGGAGUAACCAUAGUGUCCUCCUCAAAAUUUCUAAACAAGUCAUCUUCUAUAUUGUAUUUCCUUAUAAAAUUAUGGACCGCGACACAAGCAAUGACUAUGUCUCUUUGCACUGUAAAAGGAUAAGGAGCCAUUUGUUUUAAGAUUGGGAAUCUCGCCUUCAAUACACCAUAAGCACGCUCAAUAACAUUUCUAAGUUGUGCAUGAGCAUGAUUGAACCUUUCUUCUCUAGUUAAAGGUCUGCCUCUUCGAAAAUCGGCUAACCAAUACCUAGUAUUGCGGUAUGGAGCCAUAAACCCACGAGUGUUUGUAUAUGCGGCAUCACAAAGGUAAUAUUUAUCUGCAAACGAAUGUGACAUAUUAUAUAAUGACACAUAUUAUAUAAAGAAGAUAGAUAAUAAAAAUUAUAUAAAGAUUACAAACCUGGUGGAGGAAAUGGAAAUCCAGAAGUCGAAUUGAAUGCAACUUCUUUCAAAACUCUUGAAUCAUGUGCUAUACCCUCCCAUCCAGCCCAAACAAAGGUGAAUAUCAUAUCAAAAUCACAAAUUCCUAUUACAUUUUGAAAACAUUCUCCUUUUCCUCUUCCUCAAUAACGAGUUUGUUGAUCAACAGGUACAACCGCACGUACAAGAGUUCCAUCUAAUGCACCAAUUGCUCCGGAAAAAAUAUUUUUUAACCGUCUAUGUCGUUCUGAGUUAUGUCUUGUUGGGUUAGGAGUUGUUGGUACUAUAAUUUCUUUUGCAAAACACAUCAUUGCUGUUAGGACCUCGUGAAAACAUUGAUGAAUCGUUUGUGUGGAGUGAUGAAAUCUUCCCUUAACCGCGCGAAAACGUUCAUUAUGUCCUAUAACAUGUAAGAAGAUAGCCAUCUUCUCUUCAAUGCUUAUUGUCCUACUAGCUUGCAACCAAUUUUUUUGGGUAAAAUGGUUGCAUAGUAAUGCAAAUGCCUCUUGUGUAAGACGCAUCAUAUCGAAACAUUGUGUAGGGUCUCCGUAUAUCAAAUCUUAUGUAUACGCAUACCCGCUUGAAUCGUUAUCUCUAAUUCUAAGAAUUCUGAUUAGUCUGCGCCGGUUUGACCUCAACCAAUAAAACACAAGUAAAAGAAAAGCUACAACUUCACCAUCAGAAACCAUACUUGAUCUAUUACAAACAAUUAGGUAAUAUGUUAAAGUAAAAAAAAAAUCAUGCACCAAAAAAAUUAGUAAACAUCAUUAAAAGUAACAAAAGUCGUAUAACAAACGUUGUAUAACAAAAUACUAGUAAACAUCAUCCAAAAAAGUCAUCAAACUAUAUAACAGUAAACCAAAAAGUCAUCAAACAUAGGAUCCAAAAAACUAGUAAACAUCAUCCAAAAAAAGUCAUCAAACAUAGGAUCCAAAAAACUAGUAAACAUCAUAAAAAAAACUAGUAUCCAAACUUUUCUACCCGCACCUAUCAAAGGUAACUAUACUUCCUACCCGCACCCAUCACCCACGACUCACAACUACUAUGCGAAAGUCGUAACCAAACUUUUCGAACAUCAGCACUUUCACCAAAUAGCAAAAGAGCGGUCUUGUGUCUUUCAUCUUCUUCUCCCCAUUCCAUUUUGUUCAAUUUCUCCAUACACGCAUCAACAUCCUUAUCCAUUUCACUUUUUUCAAUUCUUUCAUUUUUUUUCCACUAAUAACCUUACAAUCUUGACAAUCUCCUCUUCAACUUCUAAUGCCCUUGCAUCUCUUUUUUUUCCACCAACUCUUUUGUUUCCACCAACUUCCUUAUUUUUGAACGCCCCGAAGAUUCUUCACUUGCACCUACGUGUUGUGUUGAGGUUUCCAUUAGAACAUCAUCAUCAAAAUCAUGGGGACUAAACUCUUCUACAGGACAAGGGAGUGUAGAAGAUGGCCCCCAACUUUGAGAUCCGGUUGAUGUCAACCCUUCAAAUAGUUGGGUGCAAAGAUCAGGGAACAAUAGGGGUUUAGUUUUCAAUGACAACACGAACUUGUUCAACUGUUUACAAUUUUUAUAAAUAUUAGUAUAUGUUAUAAAAAUAAUCAUAAUAGUAUUGAUUAAAAAAAUAAAUUUAAUCAAAUAGUAUAUGUUAUAAAAAUAAUCAUAAUAGUAUUGAUUAAAAAAAUAUUACCUUCCCCUCUUCUUUCCAUUGUUCAUCGGUCAAAUUAAAUUUAUUUUUUAUAGGAUCAUAUAUAUUGCCGGUUUUGUUUUUGAGUUUCACCCAAGCAACAUACUUUGAUUUGUAGUAGUCAAAGUGGUUUCUCAUUUGCUUCUGAUCAACCUCUUUACCGUGUUCGUUUAUCAAUUUUUCGCGUAUUGUCUUCCAUGAACUUGCCUUAAGCCCAGAACCCUCACGACCAUUAGUGGUUAGUUCAUGGAUACAUGCAUCAAGAAAAGUUUUGUCCUCACUCUCGUUCCAAACCAACAUCCUAAAACAUUAAUAUUUAAAGUAAUUUAUCAUAGUUUUUAUCAAGUUAAAGAACAAUUUUAAACAUAAAGCAAUUUUCAACCAAGGAAGUUAACAUCAUCCUAAAUUAUGAUUUGAUAACUUAUACACAAACAAUUUCAGAUGUCACAAAACAUCAAUAUUCAAGCUAACAAUUUCACAAAAGAUAACAAGCUAACAAUUAAGGUCAACAAUAUCAAAGCUAUAAAAUUAGAAAGAAAAAAAAAACAGCCCAAUUUUUGAUUUUAUAGCUUAUACUUUUGAUACUAAUACAAGCUCAAUAAUUGGAAGACAUGUGAUGUUGCAUGCAUUCCCCCUCUCGCCCACUCUUCAAGGAACAAUUGGAUUAUUAAAAAAGUUAGGUUACCAUUAAUCUUAUAAUAAUUAUUUAUUAUUAAUUUUACUUUUGUACUUUACACAUAAAAACACAACNAAAACCAAAAAAAUAAAAAAAAAAAAAAAAAAAAAAAAACAGCCCAAUUUUUGAUUUACAAACCUACUUGUAUUUUCCAAUUCACAUUCAAUUUCAAUUCACAAGCUAUAAAAUCAAAAUUCAAAAAAAAAACCUUCCAAUUCACUUUCAAUUUCAAUUCAUAAGCUAUAAAAUAUGAACCGGAGAAAAAAACUUCCAAUGUGAAUUGGAGAAAAAAACUUCAAAUUCAGAAAAAAAAACAAAAAAACAAAAACAAAAAACAACUACCAAUUCACAUUCUAUUUUAGAAUUCAUAACAUUAGAAAAAAAAACCUUCAAUUUUCAGUUCUUAUACACAAAGAACUACAAAACAAAACAUAAACAAACUUCCAAUUCACAUAUAAUUUCGAAAUUCAUAUAUUAGAACAAACAAUUUCAGAUUUCAGUUCUUGUACACAAAGAACUACAAAAAAGAACAAAAAAAGCUUAUCAUAUGAACAUACAGGUUGAGAAUUCAUAAUAUUCUAACAUAUACUAAUUUGAUUUCAUAAAGAACUACAAAUUUCAUACCAUCAAAGCAUAAAUGGUAUCUGAUUUUGAAAAUUAUUAACAGAAAAAUUAUCUAACCUGUGUGAUGGAUCGAGAAGGCGUCACUGAUGGCGGUGGCGGAGGUCCGACGAGAUGGCACAGGUCCGACUGGUCGGACUGUUUGGCGUUCAAUGUUGUGGAGUUCUUCCUAGCGGCUGCUGUGCUUUUAGGUCACUAGAAGGGAAGCGAAUGGGGAAAGAAAUAAUAACGACGCAGGGGCAAGAUAAGGGCAAGAUUGUCUAAUUUCCAGUCAGCAACUGUUUAAAAACUGAUCCAGAAAGCGAUUUGGGUCAGCAGAUCUUACCGAGAAAGCUCAAAUCAAACACCAAAGGUCUGACCGAGUCAGCCCAAUUUGCUGACUCGACCCAGUCAGACAUUUAUCAAACACUCCCUUAGAAGUGCACUCUUUAAUAGACCUUGACUGCACACAUCUAUGCUCAUGAACCAAAGUUUUCACCAUCCAAUCGCUUUCUUCAUCAGAUCUAGAAAUUAAUACCACCCAAGGGCAUGUUGCUUUUUGUGAGCUGACUGUUUUAUCCUUGCAUUUGAUUCUACUUUUUGUCCAUGGCCCACCUGUCAUUUUCGGGACCACACCCCUGCAUUUUGCCCUAAUUCUUUUUUUUUUAUCAUUUUUUGAAAAGUAAAUGUUUCUCCUAGUUCGAAUUGAAUGCAUUUUAAUGUAGUCCUUCACUUCUGAUGAGGACUUAAAUAUUUGACCCAGAUGGAAUGCAGUUUCAUGUACUACUCCUGAUGAACAUGUGGUUGGUUUGUUUAACCUUCUCAUUAAUUUCUUCCUCUCAUCUUCUUCUACACCAGUUGAUUCAAAUAAUUGUGUAUCUAUCACCUCCAAAUCCUCAUCAACUGUGACAUCAGGUGCAUUGAAUGAUUGGUGGUUAUCUAGAUUUGGAAAAGAAUAAACACCACUGUGGAAGUCUUUCAUAUUCACUUCGACAUCCUCCACCAUAUUAAGUUCAUCCACUAAAAAGUCACUAUCGUCGCUUAUACUUCCAUCGGUACUAGUCUCAUCACUAAUAACAUCUCCAAUUUCUUCAUUUUCCCCCAUCUGUUGGUAAUCAUUAUGAUCCAUAUAAAAGAAAGGAUCAAAGUCUUCUGAAGGGACAACAUCUUGGGCUUUGUUAAGCUCCUCACUUGCAGGAUGAACUCGAACAUCUUUCACUACAUCUCUAUCAAAAUGUCCAAAAGGUACAACAGACCUAGAAAAGUCAUAGUUCUCAUUCAAGUCCAUUUUUCUACUACAUGAUCCUACCUUUGUACUUGUAAACUUUUUUCGAUUGAGUUCCGGAGAAAUAGGCUCAUUGAUUUCUUCCGAUACGACCUUAUUUGGAGAUAUAAAGUAUGCAUGGAGUCUAGUAGUUCCAUGUUCAGUAUACACCAUAAUCUCUUUAUGAUUAGCAACAUGCUUACUUAACAAAAGUACGUCUGAGUUGUUACCUAAAGGAAGUAACCCAUAAUCGAUUUCAAUCUCAGGAAUCAAGAAGUGGUAGUAGAUAGGCUCACCGUUGAUAUAACCUAUCUCCUUCAUCAUAUCGUCUAACUCAUGUACGGAAAACACGUCCAUGUCUACGUAGUCAACAUAGUCAAUACUCCCACCAACGUAACGUCUUCCUGGGUAUUUUGUGAACAUACCCCCAUGGUGAAUCUUGAAUGUGCAAAAACUACUUAACUCAACUGAAAAACAAAUAAAUAAUGAUAUGAGGAAAGAAUGAAGUCUCAAAAUUGAAUGUGCAUAAAUUACUUAACAAAAUUGAAAGUUGUUAACUGAUCACUCACCAUAAGCUUUGAUCAGGUCAGGAUUUUCUGAGAAUUUUGAACGGACAUUCCACAAAGUUAGAACGAUCGCAAAAGAUGAAAAUGAAAACCCUAGUUUCCGUUUGAUGUUUUGAAGUGAUGAAGAUGAAAAACCAGAGGAGAAAAGAAAGGGAUGAUUUCUUGGGGUAAUGUAAAUGGCAGCUAGAUGUAAGGAUCAUUUAUGAAUAUGAUCAUUUCGUGUAACAAAGCAAAAGACCAAAAUACCCUCGUGUGAGGGUCACGUGAUUUAGAUAAACGGAAACAAUUAAACGGAGUAUGUCAUAAGGACUAUUCGUGCAACAAUUUGGAACCAUAGGGACCAUACUCGUCCAAAAUUCCUCAUAAGGACUAUCUUUGGUCUCUUGUGCCAACCACAGGGACCAUCUGUGUAAUUUUGUCUUUUUUUAAAGAUAGUUCAUAAUUUUUCUAUUAUAUACAUUGUAAAUGAAAUUGAGAACUUAAGUAGGUCCUAGGACCUACCUAAGCACAUGGUGGAUACGCCCCUGUUACCCACACUAACCUCAUACACUUACAACACAAAUGAACUUGAACGGUCUAAGACCAAACCAAGAUAUAAUAUGAAAUGUGUAAGUAUAGUUUAAUAGAUGAAAGUGAGGUGUUGUUUGGGCUUGAAAAGUAGGGGUGAGCAUGGUGCGAUUUUUUGAGAAAACCGAACCGCAAACCGCAAGAUGCGGUUUCUAUAGGGUAAAACCGAUAGGUGUGGUUUUUGUUUCGGCGUGGUUUUACAUGCAUUUUCGGUGUCAUUCGAUGCGGUUUCGGUUUUUAACUGAAAAUAUGUGUUGGUGUGAUUUUUCAUACAUGUGUUGAUCUACCAAAGAAGUAAUAACCCCUAAAGAAGCUAGAGCAAGGCCUAAUUGAAAAUGAAGCCAAUUAUUAAUUGUGUCAUAAAGACCCUCAUGCCCACGUCUCAAUCGCCCUCUUGGAGGGAUAUGUGCAUCUAAAAGAUCUUUCAUACUGUGCCCAAUCCCAAAAUUAGUUCUAUACAUAUGCCCAACAAUAAGAAAAAGAAAUGCAAUAGCUAAAUAAUGAUGAGUCAUAUCAGCAUGUCCAAACCCGACUUUUCAGUUAACUUUCCUUUAUUUCCGGUACAGAUUCUCAUUUAAAUGUAUUUAACAUGCUUGUGAAAUAGUUAUAUGUUAUUCUUAUCAAAAUAUAGACUUCUUUAUGAUAUUACGAUUUUGAGAUUUGAAUUAUAUGUUUGAUGCAACAAGGGAUUUGGUUUUAUAAUCUCAAAUUCCAUUACUUAAUCAUUAUUGUUUAUACAGAUAGAGGCGGCUUUUGAUUCGAAUUGCAUUUUGCUUGUGAUAAGCAAAAGGAAAAUUGUUAAUGGUACGCACUUUGAUACAAAUGUCAAAUUUUAUAAAAAUAUAGCAAAACAUAAGGCAUGCACAGUGGCAAAAAGAACUGAAGAGGUCGAAGUUGAACAAAAUAUACUUUUAUUAAUAAGUAUUAUAAUAUAUUAAAUAUUGUCAGGUUUUUAUGGUGCUGUUUGGCAUUGUCCAAACCGCACCACACCGAAAAAUUACCAAUUAAGGUUGGAUUGGAAUGCAUAAUUAUCAAUUUAUCCUUAAUAAGUCAUAAAUCAACAAAAAUGGCCCAACAAUUUUCUUAAUCUUAAUUGUUGCCUUUGGAUUAGAAAUCAUCAACGAUCAAGAUUGGUUCUCACAAUUCUCUAAUCUCUACUUUUAUGUUGUUUUCAUUUGAACUCAACCCAAAAAUCUCACCAGUAAUCACCACACGAACAAAUCCCGUUCUUGAAAUGAUGAAACCUAUUUGUAUCCCGAAGAAUAAUUUCCCGCUCAACAAUCUUGGAAAUAAGCUUAGCAGCAAUAUGACAAUCCUCACAAACACGUAGAUUUUUAGUAAUCCGUAUAGGCGUAAAAGCUUUAGUAUUUAUAAUCACAAACACAAUAGCAAGCUUCUCACUAUGAACAGCAAGAUGAUUUCCUUUAUCUUCAUCUUCUAUAUCAUGAAGUGCAGAAUCCACUUCAGGAACAUACCCAAAAUCCCUCAUCUUCCCCACAAGUACUUCCAACUCUUGAUAAAUCUGUUUAGAUUGUGGAUGGGAUUGAUCUCCAGCAAGAAACGAAUGAACUUGAUUAUUAAGCUCAACAUUACUAACACCGGGCUCUUUUUUCACUCCUUUUGAUUUCAUUAUUGAACGAAUAUUUGUCACAUCUUUAAAUCUACCUGCUUUUGCGUAUAUAUUUGAUAAUAAAACAUAAUACCCUGCUUGUUCAGGGACCAAUUCAAAGAGAUGAUCUGCUGCUACAAGACCAAUUUCCAUGUUGGAAUGAACUUUACAAGCACUUAACAAAGCACCCCAGAUUCUAUCGUUUGGUUUUGUUUUCAUUUUCUUUAUAAAAUCAUAAGCUUCAUUGAUUCUUCCUGAUCUUCCUAGCAAAUCAACCAUGCACGCCAAGUGUUCGAGUCUUGGAAUGAUGUUAUACUCUUCGGUCAUCAAUUUGAAGAAAUGUUUUCCUUGGUUUAGUAAUCCGGCAUGGCUGCAGGCUGAUAGAACUGGAACGAAGGAAAUGGAAUCAGGGGCGAUUCCGGAAUUUUGCAUAUUUGAAAAGACUGUGAUAGCAGUUUCACCAUCUCCAGUCAUGCCAUAAGCAGAGACCAUGGAAGUCCAGGAGACGACAUCUCUUGUUGGCAUUUCAUCGAACACCUUGCGUGCUUCGUUUAAAGACCCACAUUUAGCAUACAUGUCAAUCAAGGCGUUCUCUACUGUUAGAUUAGGAAGAAGCCUUUUUGUUUUUACAUAUGAAUGAAUCUUUCUUCCUAGUAAUAAAGCUGAAAGAUCUCCACAAGCGGGUAGGAUGCUAGCAACUGUGAUUGAAUCCGGGUCGAUUCCGUAAUUCUCCAUUUGUUGAUAAAGAUUAACUGCAUCUUUAGGCAUCGAGUUGUUGACGUACACAGCUAUCAUGACAUUCCAAGAAAUUAAACUCUCUCGAGCGUGAUUCAUGAACAUUUCUUUCAUAAACAUCACGUUGGUAGAUGAAGUAGAAGUUGUUAAAGCAGGGGAAAGGCUGGCCAUGGUGCCUGCGUUGGGUUUUGAGGUAGAACAUUGCAUCAUUGUCUUACAAAUCUCCAAUGCAUCUUCAAACAUCCGGUUUUGGGCGUAGGCAGCAACCAUAGCAUUCCAGGAGACGAUAUCUCUACUAGGCAUUUCAUCAAACACCUGGCGUCCUUCCAGUAACCGGUUACAUUUUCCAUACAUUGUAAUCAAUCCAUUCCCUACAUAAAGAUUUGAAUGCAGACCCUUCUUGAGAACAGCAACAUGGGUUUGUAAUCCGACCCACAAAUUCUCAGACACGGAACAUGCUUUUAGAACUUGAGGAACUGUAAAAUGAUCAGGGUUAAUGUUGAACUUGAACAUGUUUCUGUACAUACGAAGUGCUUUUUCGUAGAAUUCAUUGUUUACGUAGCUUCUAAUCAUCACAUUGAAGAAGACUACAUCUUUUUGAGGAAAUUCAUCAAACAGUUGGCGGGUAACUGCGAUUUGGCGACAUUCAGAAUAAGCUUUCAUUAAUUUCAGAGCAAUAUGCGAUGCUGAGACGAGGUUUCCAUCAAUAAUUAACCUACAAUGUAUCUUUUUCAAUUGUUUGAUAUCUGGGCACUUGUCCAAGAUUUUGAUACACAAGUCUUCUGUGAUUAACAUGAUUGUUAAGGCGAGAUUUGAAUGAAUUUGAACUUAUAUUCCUUUCGCCAUGUUGUACCUGAGGGGCAAUCAAAUAGAAUGGACGAAGAUAACGAAGGUUUACUUGGUGGUGUUCACUUAAAAACAAGAAAUAUGAAGUUCUAAACGCUAUUUCUUGUUAAACAGAAAAUAUUUUGUCCAAUCUAAAAAUCCAAUUUUUGAGUAAGUUCAAGCUUAAGCUCAAAAAUAGUAAGCAAAACAUGUUUAAAAAAUAAAAGUUCGUUUGAAACUCUUUGGAUAGCUCGAGUAUAACAAUCAUCAUAAUUAUAGUCAAUAAAUCAGGCUCAAACAACCAAACUUGAUGUCCAGCCCUUGAUCAUCCAAUUGCCAACUGAAAUCAACUUAGUUUCCGGUUUUAGAAUCGCCCUAACAUUACAUAAGCACCAACUAGUUCCAAAAGUAGUUUUUAAUUCAAUGUCUCCCAUACCCGUGACUUCAAGGGUUUCCAUGUUACCCAACCUUACCAACUUAAGAUAAGUUCUUUACUUCAAUUACUAUAACAGAUCGAUGAGUCAUGUUCUAAUGACCUCUCGUCAUAUGAUGCAAUGCUUAGACUCGAGUCUUUUAAAGUCAAAUUCUAUAAUGAAAUAUACAUUCCUUCAAGUUUCUAAUGUGAUAUAAUCACAUUCUAGCAUGUAUCACUUCUAGCUACAAGCUUCUUACUUUAACAACAAUCACAAUACUUCUAUUGAUCGCUUUGAUUAUCUUUCAGUUCAAUCUUCUGGCUUAAGUCAGAUGCUACAUCGAUCUUGGUUCUCUGAACCACGUACAAUACUUAUCCUAGCUGUAAUCGAUUUGAUAUGACCACUAGGGUCGGAAUAACAAUCAUCUUCUUAGUCAUUACCGAAAUUAUGGUAAUGACACAUGAACAAAACAGAAUCAAUUACUAGCGUCUUGGUAACUCGUGACUUUCCCUGAUCCAAGUGCGAGUCGUGUGCUUCCAGUAGUAUAUGCCUCUACUACCUUUCACACCUACUCAUACUUGUCCCAAGUAUUGUCUUUCAGUUCUCCAAGUCACCAUAAAAGAAUUUCACAUAGUCAUUUAACACAUCGAAUAACAAAACUAAGGUUUAUAUUAUUUCUUGAAACGAUUACAUAGAUAUUCAAGUUCACCUUAUACCAUGCCUUUUAUAUUAGGCUACACCACAUGAUACUAUCUAUAUGGCUACUUUAUAUCUCGAUCUUCAGAUAUAUAUAGAUCCCUACUCCUAAUCCCUUGUAUCGUCACCUGCUUCAUCCAGGUUAGACUUCGAGAAUCUUCCUUUCUUAUCGAAUCUUGAGGAUCCCUCAAGCUUCUUCUUUUCUCAUGCCUUGUCUUAUUCCAGACCCUUUUUCCUAAAUUAGGUUUCCAUAUUCUUGGUUGCUCUAACGGUUGUCUUCAAAGUAGUUGCCAUUUUUACCAUUGCGCCAAAUUAUGCUGGCAAUCCGUUAGCAAAACUAUCUAUCUUGGAGAGUUCAGUAGCACCAAGUAGGGGAAUAACUUCAUCUGCUCGGUGAAUACGGUGACAUACUCAUCAACACUCAUCUUCCUUUUCUUCAAGUUCGAAACUCGUUGUUUAGGUCUAUCAGAUCUAUCUCUGAGCAGUAUUGCAUUUUCAACUGCUCCAUGAAUGCUUCCCACCUCAGGGCUUCUCCCCCAUGGCUUUGUAUCUGCCAAUAACUUCCACCAACUUAAAACUCUGGUCUUUAGUUGUCUGACUGUAAAGACGGUUUUCUGCUUGUUGCUGCAAUUGCAACUUUCAAAUGUCAUCUCUAUCUCGGAGAUCCAAUCCAUGAUCUCUACUGGCUUCGGGCUUCCAGAAAGACUUGGUGGUUUGGCACCUAAGAAGUUCUUAUACAUACGUUCAUCCUUAUCAAUCGCUUUUUUCGGGUCGUUCCUCCUUGCCACUCGGGGUUCAGCUUGACUCACUGUACGACUGUAAUUUCCCUCCUCCGACAAUUCUUCAUUCAGUUCGGGUUGCACGAUAGGCACAAUAGGUUCAUCCCUAUUAUCAAGAAACAUUUUUCUCAUCUCCUCCCUUUGUUCGGCCAUCAUAGCCCAAAUCAUUGCUUAGACUCUUGCCAUCGUGAUUGGCUCGGGUGCAGCUACUACCUCUGGUGCACAUUUAAUCACUCGUGGUUCAGGCUGUUAGUUUUCAUUAGCAUUUUCUAAUAUGUUGCGAGUUCUCACCAUUUCGAUCUAUACACUCUAGAGAUGUUCAGUGUACAGUGACGAGAAUUAAGAUAUGGAAAGCUUUAUUUACGACAGCCAUAUAAAUCUUCUUAUCACUCGUAAAAGUUAUAUACUAGUUCUAAUACCGUAAUUAAAUGUUUGGAAAUUUUGAGCAAAUGACGGUUCAUCAACAAUAGAGCGAAUCUCAUUUAGGAAUUCGUUGAUAGGUCGAUUUCCUUUAGGAUUUUUAGCAAGUUUGGAUUUUAAAGAGAUGAUUCUUGAGCAGGAGGUGCUGGCAUAGCUUGUGUUGAGAUGCUUUCAUGCUUCUUUUGUGGUAAAUACAGAGGUAAUGAUAGGUUGAAUGAAUUGCAUCUGAGCAUGAACCAAGAAUUGCAUCGAAUACUACAUGAUCUUGGCGAUAGCAAGUCGUGUAUUCAUGAUUAGGUUUGGAUUUGUCUUUGUCGAUAAUGAAUUUUGUGGUAGGAUCAGUCACCCAUGUGAUGUAAUCUUCCAGACCUAGUCCAAUAAAUGUGGACUGCACUUGUCGCCUCCAUACAUGGAAGUUGUUGGUGAGUAAUUUGGUAGGAAAGUGACUUGAGGCGGUGAUUUGUAUUUGGGAUGAUUGUGUCAUGGUGAUGUUGAUGAAAAGGAUUAGAGGAGAAAGGCAAGAUGAUCGAUUGACUCUUUAGAGUGUGUGUGCUCUGAUACGAUAUGAGAUUUGAGAAUCAAUGGGCUCGAAUGAAUAAUUUCAUUUACAAAGAUCGAUACAUAUAUAGAUGGUAACGAGAGUUAAAGAGCUAUACAUGGAAUUUACUAAGAAUAGAUUGCAAUUACAUACAAAUAGAAGAGAUUAUUGUAGAUUAGUCAUGAAGAUGUGUACGAUGUUAUAGUUAGAUUGCUUAUUUGCAAUCCAUGUUAGCUAAGUAUGUCAUGUUGAAUACAAAUUGUAUUAAAACAUUAAAGUUCCAACCAUUAUAUGUUGAAGAAGAAGCAAAUACGCCUUAGUCACACCCAUUCUAAAUGAUAUGGAUGUUAUGGUUGUCGUUUCUAUGCAACCAAAUCGUGAUUCCAAGUUGCAGUUGUCUUACCAAUAUAUCAUGUUAGGAAAAGAUGACAUAGCAUGAAAUAUUGUAUGUUACAACAAAAAGAUAUAUCUUAUAGAUGUCUUGCACAUGGGUUAUUCCUUUUUAAGCACUUAUAUAAAAAUAAUAUCACGUAUGUAUGAUAUCUAUUUUGAGAGAUUUUUAGCAAGCAACUCUUUGUCUAUUAUUGUUAUUGGAUAGAAAAAGUAUCAUCUUCGUUGGGAAGAUUUUACUAGGAUUAGAUUCAUAAUAGUUUGUCAAAGAUUUUACUAUUAUGUAUUUAUAAACCCAUGAAGUUUUCUAUUAAAUAAAUAAAUAAAUAACCAUUCACCAUUUAUAUCUUUUUGGAAUAGAGUUUGUUAAAUUCUAAUAUAAAUAAAAAGAGUAUUUAUUUAGAUUCACACAUUACAAAAUUACAAACUCCAAGCAUAAAUCCGAAACUUAUUUUUAAACUUCUUCAUUUAUAUUACAAGUUUUAUUCUUUUUUCCCAACCCACUUGGGGUUUCGAAACCCUAAAAAAGUUCUAUCCAUGGAAGUUCAUAUUUAUUUCUUAUCUUAAUGAAUUUAAGGUCUAAAUCAAUAAAUGGCAAUGUAGAAUUAACCGCAUAUAUUAAGUUAUUUUUGGAAGCUUUCCAACACAACACAGAAAGGAAAUGAUGAGAAUUUAUGGUACCAAAUAACAAAAUAAUCCCGGUUCCUAUAAAAAUUUAUUAAAGCUCUACUCAUGAUUUCAUAAUCUCCUCUAAUAUGAGGGUUACGUUAUUGUAAUAAUAACUAUGAUAAUGUAAAAGCCAUAACAUAAAUCGUCUUAAUUUAAGAAAUAAUAUAAAUCCCAAGAUAUUGUUUUUAAAAUAAAAAGGAAAAAAGUGGGAGUCCAUUAGAAGGAGCCAAGCUGAUUAUUUGAGCCAAGAGAGCACCGAUUUGUUAUCCUUCCACUGUUCGAAGCGAGAGGUUAUCGCAGCUCUGUGAAGCCAGCCUAACGCAUUGCCCUCUGCUCUAGGAACCAAGAAGCCCAAGCCUUCGCUCAAGCCACUUGAUCCAACUCCGAACUUGGAACGGGCAAACCAGAUUUUGCAACAGCUUUGACCCAACCAAACAAGGCUCGAUCUCAGUCCAUCCCACUUUAGAGCCCUCACUUGAGUCACAAGCUCGCGUUACCAAGCUCGGCGAUAAACGAAGUCCAUUUGAUGUAUAAAUAAUCGGAAAAACUUUCUCCUCCAAGCGAUGUGGGAUGCGAAACGAAAUAUUUUCAUCUUCAUUCUCUCUUUAUCUCUGUCAAAUACUGUGAUUACUGAUUACUGACUACUUAAACACCCAUGCAACGGAUUUCAAGUAUUUUUUUCAAUCCAUGGAUUUAGAACUGUAAACU
rnacentral:lncRNA from 1 species